CGCAACAUCGGAUUGCACGGAAACCGCUCGGGUAGCGAACCAGAAGAAGGGAGGUUACGGACGGAAUUUGCGGAGACGCCGAGGUCGCGCUACGACUAGUACCUGGCAGCGCUGGCGUUUCUGCUGCUGCACGGCGUCCCAGGCGGCGGCGUCGGCGGCACGGCAAGACGACGCGCCCCCUUGCAUGUGCGGGUACCUGGGAUGGAUCAUGGAGCCGAUCAAAAAACUGCUUGGAAACACAAUCGACGGCUGAUUCUUCGAAGGGGGGGNNNNNNNNNNNNNNNNNNNNNNNNNNNNNNNNNNNNNNNNNNNNNNNNNNNNNNNNNNNNNNNNNNNNNNNNNNNNNNNNNNNNNNNNNNNNNNNNNNNNNNNNNNNNNNNNNNNNNNNNNNNNNNNNNNNNNNNNNNNNNNNNNNNNNNNNNNNNNNNNNNNNNNNNNNNNNNNNNNNNNNNNNNNNNNNNNNNNNNNNNNNNNNNNNNNNNNNNNNNNNNNNNNNNNNNNNNNNNNNNNNNNNNNNNNNNNNNNNNNNNNNNNNNNNNNNNNNNNNNNNNNNNNNNNNNNNNNNNNNNNNNNNNNNNNNNNNNNNNNNNNNNNNNNNNNNNNNNNNNNNNUGGGGGGGGGGGGGGGGCGCACUCGGAGGCGUCCAUGGCGAGGUCCAAUGGGUGUCACGGCAAGUGGCGGGGGAGGGGCCGAGUGGGGGGUGCGCGGACGAGGGCGAGGGCGUUGUGCGCGUAGCGGUGCGCAGGGGCGGACGCAGAGUAACAUUAGUCGUGUGCCGCCACCGACCGUCGAUGACGCGAGCUCCUUGCGGGACCAGCCGGCAGUGAGAUCACACGCCGGUGGCCCACGCGUGAAGGGGGCCUUUUCCUUUUUAUUUUUGUUUCCGUGCGGCGACGACUACUACCGGGCCUGGGAGGCGGGCUACGGCCACCGAGAAAGCGACCCACGCGCGGGGAAGCCAAGGCCGGAGUCCGGGUUCGGGCCCGAGGUCAGUGAGAGAGUGGUAUGAGGAUAGGCCUACCGAGGGGAGCUGCUCGUGCUUUCAGGUUGCCCCUCUGUGCGAAGGGCCAUCUAGAAGGUUCUUGAACCGGGUUUUUUCCUUUUUUUUUCUGGGCCGGCCCAGUCGGGCGACCCCCUAUGCAUCCGCUCGGCCGUUGGCCGUAACGAGCGGCGCAUAGGAGGUCCCCUCUUUCAGCGCCGGUACGGGAUAGUGGCGCUUUAAGCGCCUCGAACUUGGGCCGGCCCAACGCGGGUGCUCGCUCGCUCCACUGCUCGAUCGCUCUGUAACCUCCCUGAUUCAUUUGUUACUUUUUCAGUCACGGUUGAACCAUCAACCUUUAACCAGUCAACUGUUGGAUUAAAAAAAAAUCAUGAAUUCAAAAAUAUUCAUGAAUUUCCAAAAGACGUUUACAAACUUCAAAACACUGACAAAUUUAGUCAAAAAACAUCAAAUUUAAAAAACUUCACAAAAUUUAUAAAAAAUAUCGNNNNNNNNNNNNNNNNNNNNNNNNNNNNNNNNNNNNNNNNNNNNNNNNNNNNNNNNNNNNNNNNNNNNNNNNNNNNNNNNNNNNNNNNNNNNNNNNNNNNGGUGGCCGAGGUGGUGGAGUUCUGGUGGGGUGGGUCGCCGGUGGGGAAGGGGGCACUCCGGUGGGGGUGGGGAAGGAGUGGGGCAACGAGGUGGAGGUGGAGAGGGUGCAGGGGGAGGGGCCGACGUGGGAGACUCCUGGCGAUGGGGAGGGGAAGUAGCAAUGGCGGGGUGCAAGGCGAGGGAUGGGGUGGGGCGGUGGAGGUUCCUGGGGGGAGGGAGGCAAGGUGGAGGGGGUUUGCAGGGGGGGCCGAAGGGUGAGAAGCUCCUGGCGAUGGGGAGGAGUGUAGGGUGGUGGCGAGGUGGAGCUCCUGUGAUGUUCUGUGGUGGUCAACUCCGGCGAGGUGGUGCGCGAGCUAGGGGCGAGGAGAGGCGGCGGUUUCAACGGGAAUGGAACGAGGAGGCGCAGGGGGUUCUUAUAGAGGCGACGGGAGGCGCUAGGAAGGAAUGAGCUUCACGAAUCCCGGAGGUGAAGAUCUCUCUCUCCAUGGAAGGAAAACUUCCUGUGACGUGAGGGAGAGAGGAGGAAGAAGAUGAUCUUCUUGGGCCAGUGAAAGGAAAGUCUUAAUGGGCCACCUGGAGUUUCCUAAUAAAAACGAUUCCUUUCCUAUUUUUAAAACUAGGAAACUAAAACAAUAAAAAGGAAAUCAAAUCAAUUCGGAAUAAAGAGUUUUUAUAUACUAAAAUUAUCAGAAAAAUAAAAUAUAAAUGAUGGGCAUUUUUCCACGGCAAAAAUAAAAACUUCAGAAAAAAUUAUUUUCACAAAAUUGCCUAAAAGGUUUAUUUUCUUUUGCAAAUAAUUUUCAAAUGACCCUCUAAGUUUGAGGGUCAAAAUAACUUACAAAAUGCCCGUGGGUUCGAGGGUCCUGUUCCUCCUCUCUAGAAUGUAUUUCCCGGCAUUUUGUUGCACGAAGAAAACGAAUGGAAAUGCAAAAGAAUUCAAUGCAAAUAUCUCCGUUCGAAUUCUUUAUAGUUGAAGAAGUCAUGUCAUCUUCUCUCAUUGUUUUUAAAAGAUUGAAUUUGAAUUCACCGAAGAAGGGGAAAGUCAUUUUAUUCCCUCUCAUUCAAAAGUUUCAAAAAGUUUCAAAUUUCACACAAGUUUCAAUCACUCAGCAAACAAACAAACAAUCAAUAUAAUAAUUAUAUUAACAUUCCAAAAUUUAUAAUUUUGGGAUGUUACACUUUAUGAUAUAUUGUUGUUCUAUGUGUGAUCAUGAUGCCCUCAUGUACGUAUUAUGUUUUAUCGACACCUUCGUCCCCAAACAUGUGGACAUGUUUAUGGAACUUGGUUUUCGCUUGAGGACAAGCGAGGUCUAAGCUUGGGGGAGUUGAUACAUCCAUUUUGCAUCAUGCUUUCAUGUUGAUAUUUAUUGCUUUUUGGGCUGUUAUAUUACUUGUGGUACCAUAUUUAUGCCUUUUCUCUCUUAUUUUUCAAGGAUUAUUUGAAGAGAGAGAAUUCAGGCAGCUGGAAUUCUGGACUGGAGAAGGAGCAAAUCCCAGUCCACUAUUCUACACAUCUCCAAAUGCCCUGAAAAUUUACGUGGAUUUUUUCUGGAAUAUAUUAAAAAUACUGGGCGAAAGAACUACCGGAGGGGGCCACCAGGGCCCCNNNNNNNNNNNNNNNNNNNNNNNNNNNNNNNNNNNNNNNNNNNNNNNNNNNNNNNNNNNNNNNNNNNNNNNNNNNNNNNNNNNNNNNNNNNNNNNNNNNNCUACUUACUACUUCCCAAUGCAUUCCUCUAGGCCCAAAUACGGUGAAGUGUUAUGUAGUCGACGUUCACAUAACACCACUAGAGGAAAAACAACAUACAUCAUAUCAAAAUACCGAACGAAUAUCAAAUUCACAUGACUAUUAUCAGCAUGACUUAUCCCAUGUCCUCAGGAACAAAAGUAACUACUCACAAGACAUAAUCAUAAUCAUGACCAGAGGUGUAAUGAAUAGCAUCAAGGAUCUGAACAUAAACUCUUCCACCAAAUAAUCCAACAAGCAUCAACUACAAAGAGUAAUCAACACUACUAGCAACCUUACAAGUACCAAUCAGAGUUGCGAGACGGAGAUUGGUUACAAGAUAUGAACUAGGGAUUGGAGAGGAGAUGGUGCUGAUGAAGAUGUUGAUGAAGAUGCCUCCCCUCCGACGAGAGGAGUGUUGGUGAUGAUGAUGGCGACGAUUCCCCCCUCCGGGAGGGAAAUUUCCCCGGCAGGAUCGUCCUGCCGGAGCUCUAGAUUGGAUCUGCUCAAGUUCCGCCCCGUGGCGGCGGCGAAACCACGAAAAAGCUCUCGAUUGAUUUUUUUUUCCAGGUCAGGACGCAUCAUAUAGCAAAAGAGAGGGGCUAGUGGGCCUUCAGGCAGCCCACAAGCUUGCCCACCGCCACUAGGGGGGUGGUGGCGGAGUGGGGGCUUGUGGGGCCCUGGUGGCCCCCNNNNNNNNNNNNNNNNNNNNNNNNNNNNNNNNNNNNNNNNNNNNNNNNNNNNNNNNNNNNNNNNNNNNNNNNNNNNNNNNNNNNNNNNNNNNNNNNNNNNAGAAAUCCGGCUCCCUCCGGACGUCCGAGGGUCGGACAUCCGGCCAAGCUCCGGAAAUCCGGAGGCCAACACCAGUAGGUUGUGUGCACUAUAUCUCGGAAAUCCGGCCCCCACCGGACGUCCGAGCUCCGGAUGUCCGACCCCCGUCGGAAAUCCGGAAGCCACCACCAGAAGAAAUUGUGUUGGAUAACACGGACUUCCGGGUCACUCCGGACGUCCGGCUGCUGAUGAAUUCGAAUAGGUUCAGGCUCACCUACAGGCCUCGGACGUCCGACCCCUGUCGGACGUCCAGCCGCUGAUAAAUUCAGUUGAGCUCCAGUCAUGCCUACAGGUCUCGGACGUCCGACUCCCUCCGGACGCCCGGACUUCCGACAAGUGUCGGACGUCCGGACCCUGUGUGACUUAUUGCACCUCCAACGGCUGGAUUUCACUCCACACUAUAUAUACUCUUCUCCCACCUCGAGAAAGGGUGUUCAACACAGCUAAGAUACAUCCAAGAACACCUUUCCUCUCACUCACUCUUGUCUACACUAAAUCCUAGAUCCCNNNNNNNNNNNNNNNNNNNNNNNNNNNNNNNNNNNNNNNNNNNNNNNNNNNNNNNNNNNNNNNNNNNNNNNNNNNNNNNNNNNNNNNNNNNNNNNNNNNNGUAACAAGAUCACGGGGAUUGCUCAAAACUUGCUCAAAUCACAAAUCACUUUGGUGGGAAGGAGGAGAGGGAGACGAUCUAUCUUUUGAUUGGAACAACACUCAAAGGGACUCACAAAUGCUCUUGGGAUCUAGGAUUUGGUGUAGACAAGAGUGAGUGAUAGGAAAGGUGUUCUUGGGUGUAUUCUAGCUGUGUUGAACACCCUUUCACGAGGUGGGAGAAGAGUAUAUAUAGUGGGGAGUGAAAUCCAGCCGUUGGAGGUACUUUAAGUCACGCAGGGUCCGGACGUCCGACAGUUGCCGGAAGUCCGGGCGUCCGUGAGGGGUCGGACGUCCGACAGGGGUCGGUCGUCCGAGGCCUGUAGAUACGACUGAAACUAUUUUGAAUUAAAUAGAGACCGGACGUCCGGAGAGGACCAGAAAUCCGAGUUAUACAACUCAACUUCUUCUGGUGGUAGGUUCCGGAUUUCCGAAGGGGGUCGGACGUCCGACCCUCGGACGUCCGGAGGGAGCCGGAUUUCUGAGUUAUAGAACUCAACUUCUACUGGUGCAGGGUUCCGGAUUUCCGGGGCUUGGCCGGACGUACGGCCCUCGGAUGUCCGGAGGGAGCCGGAUUUCCGAGUUAUAUGACUCACAAACUUCUGGUGAAGGGCUGCGGAUUUCUGAAGCCUGCCGGUCGUCCGGCCCUCGGACGUCCGGAGUGAGCCGCAUGUCCGAGGCAUCAUACCUGUUUUGAUAUAAGAACAUAGCGGAGAGUAUGUGGUAUUGGGUAUGAUAGUAAAGAUGUGGUAUGAGCAAGUUCAUCGCAAAACCUGUGAUCCCCUCUUAAUAGUGCGGGAUCCCUAUACUCAAUAUCAGUAAACUCAAAAGACUAGUCUACAUCAUCUUUUCUUAAUCCCGAGCCUUCUCGAAAUAUAAAUCCCCAAUCUUCUCAGACAACCUUUAGCACAUAAUUCUCAAUCUACUAAAGUACUUGCCAUCGUGAGAUACACUCAACAAAUAGGAUUAGUUUCCUAUGUAUGUGUUGUCAUUAACACCAAAAGACGAUUAGGGGCAUAGCAUGCACUUUCACUUGUUGAUUUCCUAGGAUUGAUUGAGAAGGCCAAGAUCUACACUUCCACCAAGAGAAAAUUGAUUCCCCCUACUAAUCCCUUGCGGAUCUCGUUACUCUUGGGUGUUUGAGCACCCUAGACUGUUGAGGUCACCUCGGAGCUGAUACGUCUCCAACGUAUCUAUAAUUUUUUAUGGUUCCAUGCUAUUAUCUUGUCAAACUUUGGAUGUUUUGUAUGCCUUUUAUAUCUUUUUUGGGACUAACUUAUUAACUCAGUGCCAAGUGCUAGUUCCUAUUUUUUCCAUGUUUUUGACCCUUUUCAGAGGAGAAUAUUAAACGGAGUCCAGACGGAAUAAAACUUCCGAAAAGAUUUUUUCCGGGACAAAAGAUACGUAGGAGGCGUCAGAACCAAGGCAGAGGCCACCAAGGGAGGCCACAAGCCCCCUAGGCGCGGCCAGGGGGACCCGCACCGAGAAGGCUUGUGGGCCCCCUGUGGCUCGUCUGCCCUACUUAUUCCACCUAUAAAUCCCCGAAAAAUCCAAAACCAUGGGAGAGUCCACGAAAAUACUUUUCCGCCGCCGCAAGCUUCUGUCUCCGCAAGAUCCCAUCUGGGGCACGUUCUGGUGCCCUGCCGUAGGGGGAUCCGGAUACGGAGGGCUUCUUCAUCAACACCAUUGCCACUCGAUGAUGCGUGAGUAGUUCACCAUAGACCUUCGGGUCCAUAGCUAGUAGCUAGAUGGCUUCUUCUCUCUCUUGGAUCUUCAAUACAAAGUUCUCCAUGAUCUUCAUGGAGAUCUAUCCGAUGUAAUCUUCUUUUGUGGUGUGUUUGUCGAGAUCCGAUGAAUUGUGGAUUUAUGAUCAGAUUAUCUAUGAAUCUUAUUUGAGUUUCUUCUGAUCUCUUAUAUGCAUGAUUUCAUAUCCUUGUAAUUCUCUUCGAGUUGUGGGUUUUGUUUGGCCAACUUGAUCUAUGAUUUGCAAUGGGAGAAGUGCUUGGUUUGGGGUUCAUACCGUGCGGUGACCUCACCCAGUGACAGAAGGGGUAGCGAGGCACGCAUCGUGUUGUUGCCAUCAAGGGUAAAAAGAUGGGGUUUAUAUCUAUUGCAUGAAUUUAUCCCUCUACAUCAUGUCAUCUUUCUUAAAGCGUUACUCUGUUCAUCAUGAACUCAAUACACUAGAUGCAUGCUGGAUAGCGGUCGAUGUGUGGAGUAAUAGUAGUAGAUGCAGACAGUAUCGGUCUACUUGUCCUGGACGUGAUUCCUAUAUGUAUGAUCAUUGCCUUAUAUAUCGUCAUGACUUUGCGCGGUUCUAUCAAUUGCNNNNNNNNNNNNNNNNNNNNNNNNNNNNNNNNNNNNNNNNNNNNNNNNNNNNNNNNNNNNNNNNNNNNNNNNNNNNNNNNNNNNNNNNNNNNNNNNNNNNNNNNNNNNNNNNNNNNNNNNNNNNNNNNNNNNNNNNNNNNNNNNNNNNNNNNNNNNNNNNNNNNNNNNNNNNNNNNNNNNNNNNNNNNNNNNNNNNNNNNNNNNNNNNNNNNNNNNNNNNNNNNNNNNNNNNNNNNNNNNNNNNNNNNNNNNNNNNNNNNNNNNNNNNNNNNNNNNNNNNNNNNNNNNNNNNNNNNNNNNNNNNNNNNNNNNNNNNNNNNNNNNNNNNNNNNNNNNNNNNNNNNNNNNNNNNNNNNNNNNNNNNNNNNNNNNNNNNNNNNNNNNNNNNNNNNNNNNNNNNNNNCUAUCAAUUGCUCGACAAUAAUUCGUUCACCCACCGUAAUAUUUGCUAUCUUGAGAGAACCUCUAGUGAACACUAUGGCCCCCAGGUCUACUUCACAUCAUGUUUUCAGCCUUACACUUUUACUUUGUUGCACUUUCCACCUUCAGACCUCACUUUACAAUCAAUCUUGAAGGGAUUGACAACCCCUUUAUAGCAUUGGGUGCAUGCUCGUUUGUGUUUGCGCAGGUACUCUGGACACUUGGCUUGAUUCUCCUACUGGAUUGGUACCUUGGUUCUCAAAACUGAGGGAAAUACUUACUGCUACUGUGCUGCAUCACCCUUUCCUCUUCAAGGGAAAAACCAACGCAAGCUCAAGAGGUAGCAAGAAGAAUUUCUGGCGCCGUUGCCGGGGAGCAUCAAGUCAAGAAUAGUCUUCCUCCAACGUGUCAAUCUCUCGCACCGGGGAUUAUUCUAAGUGAAGCUUAUCUAAGUAACCGUCGCAAACUCAUCUCUUGCAUUUACUUUUUUUGCCUCUCAUUUUCCUCUCCCCACUUCUGAAAAACAAAAAUUUACAAAAAAAAUUGCCUUUUCCGUUCGCCUUUUUGUUGCUUUGGUUGCUUGUGUUACCAUGUGCCUUCAAAAUGCUUGCAUCUUCACUUGCUAAGAAUCUAAUGAUAUGGAUCCUCACCCACUUGCUAAUCUUUUCAAGAGGUCCAACUAUGUUGAACCAUUUGCUAGUGAGUUGAGUGCACUUGACUCUCUUUAUGGAGUUUUGCUUGAGAUGCACGAAUCUGAAAAUCGUGAUGAAGAAAUUUAUAAAGUGAUUCACGAGGGCUCCUUGAAUGAAAAGCAUGAUUGCAAUGGUUUCACUAUAAAUCCUAUUAGUGUCAAUCAUGCUAAAAAUAUGCAAAACCCUAAGCUUGGGGAUGCUAGUUUUACUAUGACCACUACUUGUUGCAAUAAUCAUGAUUGGGGUGAUGAUCUUUCUUAUGAUCUUGAAAAUUUGUUUAAACCUCAUGAUGAAUAUGAUAUUUGCAAAAAUAUUGAAAGUGGGUUUGGAGAAGUCAUGACUUUAGUUGAUGAUAAUCCCACUAUUCUUGAAGAGCGUAAACUUUACAUGCAUGUGGAUGAUGAAAAGAAUACCCUUUGUGAUAGCUAUAUUGUUGAAUUUGAAUAUGAUCCCACAUGUAAUUAUUAUGAGAGAGGAAAAUAUGGUUGUAGAAAUUUUCAUACCAAUAAAUCACCUCUCGUUAUGUUGAGAUUGCUAUUGUCUCUUUCUUCUUCCUUGCAUAUGGUAGCUAUUGGUUGUCUUGAUAAUUUGUUUUCCUAUAAAAUGCCUAUGCAUAGGAAGUAUGUUAGACUUAGAUGUGAUUUUCACAUGUUUCAUGAUGCUCUCUUCAUGUCCGAUUGCUAUCUUUUAUGUGAGCAUCAUUGAAUUAUCAAUGCCUAGCUAAGGGCGUUAAACAAUAGCGCUUGUUGGGAGGCAACCCAAUGAAUUUAUCUUUGGUUUUUGUUUUCUGUUUUGUUGCGUCCACACCAUCAUAAUUCUGUUAUGAUUGUGUUUUUGUGUUUCUUUUUCUGUUUAAUCCAAGUAAAACCUUUAUGACUAGUUUUGGUGAUGGUUGUUUGAUCAUGCUGGAAAAAGAAGAAACUUUUCACUCACGAAAUUAUUUUUCAUUUUUAUCCAGAAAGAGAUUUUGAGUUUAUUCUUUAUGCUACUGGUUGAUAUGCCAUUUUCCCAAACUGUCGUAAAUUUUCAGAAGUUUUGAGAUACCACAAGUAUAUGAAGUAUACAGAUUGCUAUAGACUGGUCUGUUUUCGACAGAAUCUGUUUUGUUGUGUCGAUUGCUUGUUUUGAUGAAACUAUGGAUAGUAUCGGGGGGUACUAGCCAUGGAAAAGUGAGAAUACAGUAAUCUAACACCAAUAUAAAUAGAAAUCAAGUUUUCUACGGUACCUCAAGAGGUGGUAGUUUGUUUUCUUGUGCUAAUGAUAUCAUGAGUUUCUGUUUAAGUUUUGUGUUGUGAAGUUUUCAAGUUUUGGGUGAUGUUCUCAUGGACAAAGGGAUAAAGAGUGGAAAGAGAUCAAGCUCGAUGAUUCCCAAGGCAUCACAAGCCAAAUUCAAGGACACCAAAAAGCCUAAGCUUGGGGAUGCCCCGGGAAGGCAUCCCCUCUUUCGUCUUCAAUCCAUCGGUAACAUUACUUGGAGCUAUAUUUUUAUUCACCACAUGAUAUGUGUUUUGCUUGGAGCGUCAUGUAUUAUAGGAGUCUUUUCUUUUUGUUGUGUCACAAUCAUCCUUGAUGCACAACUUUUGAGAGAGACAUGCACUCAUCGUGAUUUUGCUAGAAUACUCAUUGAGCUUCGAUUAUAUCUUUUGAGUUAGGCAAUUUAGCUCACAUGUGCUUCACUUAAAUCUUUUGAGCUAGAUAACUUUGCUCUAAGUGCUUCACUUAGAUCUUUUAGAGCAUGGCGGUGUCAUAUUUUGGAGAAAUAAGAACUCUCGAUCUUCACUUAUAUCUUUUUGAGAGUGCUCUCUUUGAGUAACUUGCUAGUUGGCUUGUGCUAUGAAAGUAGUCCUAAAGAUGAUAGGCAUCCAAAGAGGAUACAAUAAAACUUCCAUAUUCUUGUGCAUUGAUUAGAAAGAGAAGUUUGAUUCCUCUCAAUUAGUUUUGAGACAUGGAUUUGGUAAUAUUAAGAGUUAUGUUAGUAGGGUGUUGUGAAUCUUUAAAUACUUGUGUUGAAGUUAGUGAUUCCCGUAACAUGCACGUAUGGUGAACCGCUAUGUUAGGAAGUCGGAGCAUAAUUGAUCUAUUGAUUAUCAUCCUUUGUGUUGCGGUCGGGAUCGCGCGAUGGUUAACACCUACCAACCCUUCCCCUAGAAGUAUGUGUUUAGCACUUUGUUUCGAUUACUAAUAAAAACUUUCGCAAUAAGUAUGUGAGUUCUUCAUGACUAAUGUGAGUUCAAGGUAUAGAUGCACUUUCACCUUCCACCAUUGAUAGCCUCUGUAGUGCCGCACAAUUCUCGCCGGUACGUAAAACCGCCAUAUGCCUUCCUCAAAACAGCCACCAUACCUACCUAUUGUGGCAUUUUCAUAGCCAUUCCGAGAUAUAUUGCCAUGCAACUCCCACCGUUCCGUCUAAUUACAUGUGCCGUCACUUUCAUAUUCCCAUUACAUGAUCGUAAGAUAGCUAGCGAGAUGUUUUCAACGUCAUACACCAAGCUAGAUCGUUGCACAUCCCGGUACACUACCAGAGGCAUUUCCUAUAGAGGAUCAUCAUUGCUCUAAGUAUUGAGCUGUGAGUAGAUAAAAGUGUGAUGAUCAUCAUUAUUAGAGCAUUCUCCCAUGUGAGGAAAUAAAAAAAUAGGAAAGAGGCCAAAGUUGCCCACAAAAAAAUGGAAAGAGGCCAAAGAGCCCAAACAAAAAAAGAGAGAAAAAGAGAGAAGGGACAAUGCUACUAUCUUUUCCACACUUGUGCUUCAUAAUAGCACCAUGUUCUUCAUGAUUGAGAAUCUCUUGUUUCGUCACCACCAUAUGCUAGUGGGAAUCUUCAUUAUAUAACUUAGCUUGUAUAUUCCAAUGAUGGGCUUCCUCAAAAUUGCCCUAGGUCUUCAUGAGCAAGCAACUUGGAUGCACACCCACUAGUUCUCCUUUUGAGCUUUCACAUACUUAUAGCUCUAAGUGCAUCCGUUGCAUGGUAAUCCCUACUCUUUCACAUUGAUAUCUAUUGAUGGUCAUCUCCAUAACCCUUUGAUACGCCGAGUCGAUGUGACCAUCUCCUCCUUUUUGUCUCACAACCUCCACCACACUUUAUUCCACCUAUAGUGCUAUAUCCAUGGCUCACGCUCAUGUAUUGCGUGAGAGUUGAAAAAGGUUUGAGAAAGUAAGAGUGCGAAAACAAUUACUUGGCCAAUACCAGGGUUGUGCAUGAUUUAAAUUAGUUGUGUGGGGAUGACGGAGCAUAGCCAGACUAUAUGAUUUUGUAGGGAUAACUUUCUUUGGCCUUGUUAUUUCGAAAGUUCAUGAUUACCUUGCUAGUUUACUUGAAGUAUUAUUGUUUUCAUGUCAAUAGCAAACUAUUGUUUUGAAUCUUAUGGAUCUGAACAUUCAUGUCACAUGAAAGAAGUUACAAAGGACAAAUAUGCUAGGUAGAAUUCCACAUCAAAAAUUCAUUCUUUAUCACUUCCCUACUCGAGGACGAGCACGAGUUAAGCUUGGGGAUGCUUGAUACGUAUCCAAAGUAUCUAUAAUUUUUGAUGGUCCCAUGCUAUUAUCUUGUCAAACUUUGGAUGUUUUGUAUGACUUUUAUAUCUUUUUUGGGUCUAACUUAUUAACUCAGUGCCAAGUGCCAGUUCCUGCUUUUUUCAUGUUUUUGACCCUUUUCAGAGGAGAAUAUUAAACGGAGUCCAAACAGAAUAAAACUUCCGAAAAGAUUUUUUCCGGAACAAAAGAUACGCACGAGGCAUGAGAACCAAGGCACAGGCCCCCAGGGGAGGCCACAAGCCCCCUAGGUGCGGCCAGGGGGCGCGCCUAGCAGGCUUGUGGGCCCCCUGUGGCUCGUCUUCCCUACUUCUUCCACCUAUAAAUCCCUGAAAAAUCCAACCACGGGAGAGAUCCACGAAUAUACAUUUCCACCGCCGCAAGCUUCUAUCUCCGCAAGAUCCCAUCUGGGGUACGUUCUCGUGCCCUGUCGGAGGGGGAUUCGGAUACGGAGGGCUUCUUCAUCAACACCAUUGCCUCUCCGAUGAUGCGUGAGUAGUUCACCAUAGACCUUCGGGUCCAUAGCUAGUAGCUAGAUGGCUUCUUCUCUCUCUUGGAUCUUCAAUACAAAGUUCUCCAUGAUCUUCAUGGAGAUCUAUCCGAUGUAAUCUUCUUUUGCGGUGUGUUUGUCGAGAUCCGAUGAAUUGUGUAUUUAUGAUCAGAUUAUCUAUGAAUCUUAUUUGAGUUUCUUCUGAUCUCUUAUAUGCAUGAUUUCAUAUCCUUGUAAUUCUCUUCGAGUUGUGGGUUUUGUUUGGCCAACUUGAUCUAUGAUUCUUGCAAUGGGACAAGUGCUUGGUUUUGGGUUCAUACUGUGCGGUGACCUCACCAAGUGACAGAAGGGGUAGCGAGGCACGCAUCGUGUUGUUUCCAUCAAGGGUAAAAAGAUGGGGUUUAUAUCUGUUGCAUGAAUUUAUCCCUCUACAUCAUGUCAUCUUGUUUAAGGCGUUACACUGUUCGUCAUGAACUCAAUACACUAGAUGCAUGAUGGAUAGCGGUCGAAGUGUGGAGUAAUAGUAGUAGAUGCAGACAGUAUCGGUCUACUUGUCUCGGACGUGAUGCCUAUAUGUAUGAUCAUUUACUUAGAUAUCGUCAUGACUUUGUGCGGUUCUAUCAAUUGCUCGACAGUAAUUCGUUCACCCACCGUAAUAUUUGCUAUCUUGAGAGAAGCCUCUAGUGAACACUAUGGCCCCCGGGUCUACUUCACAUCAUAUUUUCAGCCUUACACUUUUACUUUGUUGCACUUUCCACCUUGAGACCUUACUUUGCAAUCAAUCUUCAAGGGAUUGACAACCCCUUUAUAGCGUUGGGUGCAAGCUCGUUUGUGUUUGCGCAGGUACUCUGGACACUUGGCUUGAUUCUCCUACUGGAUUGAUACCUUGGUUCUCAAAACUGAGGGAAAUACUUACUGCUACUGUGCUGCAUCACCCUUUCCUCUUCAAGGGAAAAACCAAUGCAAGCUCAAGAGGUAGCAGGAGCAACAUUCCAUUGUGGUGAAGCUCCUUGGUCUUGUUGGGAGCCUCCAAGCUUUGUGUGAAGUUAGCCCCAACCUUGUUUGUAAAGGUUCGGUCGCCGCCUUCAAGAGCACCCAAAGUGGAAUCACGGCACCUUGCAUUGUGUGAGGGCGUGAGGAGAAUACGGUGGCCCUAGUGGCUUAUUGGGGAGCAUUGUGCCUCCACACCGCUCCAACGGAGACAUACUUCUUGUCAAAGGGAAGGAACUUCGGUAACACAUCCUCGUCUUCAUUGGUUCCACUUGUGGUUAUCUCUAAUCUUUACAUUGUGUAUGCUAUUGUUGUAGACUAUUUUAUACUUGCCUUAGCAAUUAUAGUUGGUAGCAUCAUAUAGGUUGAUCACCUAGUUGUCAUUUUAGAGAACCUUUAUGUUGUUAACCCUAACUUUUUAAAAAUAGAUAAAAAGUGGUAGUUGCCUAUUCACCCCCCCCCCCGCUAGUCAACCAUAUCGAUCCUUUCACUUGGGUUCUCCAUUCAUAUAAUGAGCUAAUAUCAAAUAAUCUGUUUUCACGAGCAAGUUUGAAAUCAUAGUUGAGUUCUUUGAUUUCCCAAUAUGCUUUAUGUUCUAACUCAAGAGGCAAAUGACAAGCUUUUCCACAAACCAUUUUAUAAGGAGACAUACCCAUAGGAUUUUUAUAUGUUGUUCUCUAAGCCCAAAGUGCAUCAUCUAUUUUCUUAGACCAAUUCUUCCGAGACCUAUUGACAGUCUUUUGUAAGAUUAGAUUUAUUUCUUUAUUGCUAAGUUCAACUUGGCCACUAGAAUGAGGAUGAUAAGGUGAUGCUAUUCUAUGGUUAACAUCAUACUUAGCAAGCAUUUUAUGCAAAGCACCAUGAAUAAAGUGUGAACCACCAUCAGUCAUUAAAUAUCUAGGGACUCCAAACCUUGGGAAACGAACUUCCUUAAGCAUUUUAAUAGAGGUGUUGUGAUCAGCACUACUAGUUGGAAUAGCUUCUACCCACUUAGUAACAUAAUAAACAGCAACCAAAAUAUGUGUAUACCUAUUAGAGGAAGGAAAACGUCCCAUGAAACAAAUCCCCAAACAUCAAAUGGUUCAACAACAAGUGAAUAAUUCAUAGGCAUUCUUGAUGCUUACUAAUAUUACCUAUUCUUUGACAUUCAUCACAAGAUGAUACAAACUUAUGUGCAUCCUUGAAGAGAGUAGGCCAAUAAAAACCAGAUUGCAAUACCGUAUGAGCAGUUCUGUCUCCCGCGUGAUGCCCUCCAUAAGCUUCGGAGUGACAUUUCCCCAGAAUUUGUUCCUGUUCAUGAUUAGGUACACAACGUCUAAUAAUACCAUCUACUCCUUCUUUAUAAAGAUGUGGGUCGUCCCAAAAGUAAUGUCUUAAAUCAUCGAAGAUUUUUUUUCUUUUGUUGGUAUGUGAAGCUAGGUGGUAUGUAUUUAGCAACAAUAUAAUUAGCAUAAUCAGCAUACCAAGGUGUACUAUUAGAAACAUUUAUUGCAGCUAAUUGUUCAUCAGGAAAGCUAUCAUUAAUAGGUUGUGGGUCAUCAAUAAUAUUUUCAAGCCUAGACAAGUUAUCAGCUACGGGGUUCUCUGCUCCUUUCCUAUCAGCGAUAUGCAAAUCAAAUUCUUGUAACAGAAGAACCCACCUAAUGAGUCUAGGUUUAGCAUCUUUCUUUUCCAUAAGAUAUUUAAUAGCAGCAUGAUCGGCGUGAACAAUAACUUUAGAAUCAACAAUGUAAGAUCUGAAUUUAUCACAAGCAAACACUACUGCUAAGAAUUCGUUUUCAAUAGUAACAUAAUUUCGUUGAUCACUGUCCAGAGUUUUACUAGCAUAAUGGAUAAAAUUCAAUUUCUUAUCAACUCUUUGUCCUAGAACAACACCAACAUUGAAAUCACUAGCAUCAUACAUAAUCUCAAAAGGCAAAUUCCAAUCAGGUGGUUGAACAACAGGUGCAUUAACUAAGGCUUUCUUUAGUGUUUCGAAGGCUUCCAAACAAUCAUCAUCAAACACAAAAGGAAUAUCCUUUUGCAAAAGAUUUGCAAGAGCCCUAGAAAUUUUAGAAAAGUCUUUGAUAAACCUCCUAUUGAAACCAGCAUGACCAAGGAAACUAUGAAUACCUUUGAUAUCUUUAGGACAUGGCAUUUUCUUAAUUGCAUCAACCUUGGUUUUGUCCACCUCAAUGCCUCUUUUAGAAAUUUUAUGGUCCAAAACAAUACCUUCGUUAACCAUAAAAGUGGCACUUCUCCCAAUUCAAGACAAGAUUUGUUUGUUCACAUCUGUGCAAAACUCGAUCAGGAUUGCUUAAACAAUCAUAAAAAAUACUUCCCAUAAACAGAAAAGUCAUCCAUGAAAACCUCAACAAUCUUUUCACAAAAAAAAUCAGAGAAUAUAGCAGCCAUGCAUCUUUGAAAGGUAGCAGGUGCAUUACAUAAACCAAAAGGCAUACGUCUAUAAGCAUAAGUUUCAAAAGGUUAAGUAAAAGUGGUCUUUUCUUGAUCAGGUUGUAAAACAUGUAUUUGUGAAAAAAUAGAAUGUCCGUCAAAAAAGCAAAAAUGUGUGUGCUUAGAUAGUCUUUCUAACAUUUGAUCAAUAAAAGGCAAAGGGUAAUGAUCUUUUCUAGUUGCUUUGUUUAAUUUUCUAAAAUCAAUUACCAUUCUAUAGCAUGUGACAAUUCUUUGUGGAAUAAGUCCAUUCUUAUCAUUAGAAACAACAAUAAUACCUCCCUUCUUAGUGAUGUAGGCGUUGCCCGAUCUUUCAAUGAGAGUGAUGAUAACUAUCGAUUUGGUGAAUUUUGACUUUGACGAUCCGACUAUCCGAUGUAAUCUUAUUUUGCGGUGUGUUUGUCGAGAUCCGACGAAUUGUGGAUUUAUGAUCAGAUUAUCUAUGAAUAUUAUUUGAGUUUCCUCUGAUCUCUUAUAUGCAUGAUUUCGUAUCCUUGUAAUUCUCUUCGAGUUGUGGGUUUUGUUUGGCCAACUUCAUCUAUAAUUCUUGCAAUGGGAGAAGUGCUUGGUUUUGGGUUCAUAUCGUGCGGUGUCCUCACCCAGUGACAGAAGGGGUAGCGAGGCACGCAUCGUGUUGUUGCCAUCAAGGGUAAAAAGAUGGGGUUUAUGUCUAUUGCAUGAAUUUAUCCCUCUACAUCAUGUCAUCUUGCUUAAGGUGUUACUCUGUUUGUAAUGAACUCAAUACACUAGAUGCAUGCUGGAUAGCGGUUGAUGUGUGGAUUAAUAGUAGUAUAUGCAGACAGUAUCGGUCUACUUGUCUCGGACGUGAUGCCUAUAUGUAUGAUCAUUGCCUUAGAUAUCAUCAUGACUUUGCGCGGUUCUAUCAAUUGCUCGACAGUAAUUCGUUCACCCACCGUAAUACUUGCUAUCAUGAGAGAAGCCUCUAGUGAACACUAUGGCCCCCGGGUCUACUUCACAUCAUAUUUUUAGCUCUACACUUUUACUUUGUUGCACUUUCCACCUUCAUAUCUCACCUUGCAAUUAAUCGUGAAGGGAUUGACAACCCCUUUAUAGUGUUGGGUGCAAGUUUGUUUGUUUUUGCGCAGGUACAUUGGUGACUUGCCUUUCUGGCGCCGUUGCCGGGGAGUAUCAAGUCAAGAAUAGUCUCCCUUCAACGUGUCAAUUUCUGGCACCGGGGACUAUUCUAAGUGAAGCUUAUCCAAGUAACUGUCGCAAACUUAGCUCUUGCAUUUACUUUUUUUCCUUUUGCCUCUCGUUUUCCUCUCCCCCACUUCUGAAAAACAAAAAUUUACAAAAAUAUUUGCCUUUUUCGUUCGCCCUUUUCUUUCGCUUGCUUUCUGUUCGCUUGUGUGCUUGUCUACUUGCUGAAGUCACCAUGACUGAAAACACCAAAUUGUGUGACUUCUCGAAUACUAAUAAAAAUGAUUUUAUUAGUACUCCGAUUGCUCCCGCCACUAGUGCGGAAUCAUAUGAAAUCAAUGUUGUUUUGCUCAAUCUUGUUAUGAAAGAGCAAUUUUCCGGCCUUCCUAGUUAAGAUGCCGCAUCCCAUCUUAAUACCUUCAUUGAGUUAUGCGAUGUGCAAAAGAAGAAAGAUGCGGAUAAUGAUGUGAUUAAAUUGAAGCUAUUUCCAUUCUCAUUGCGAGAUCGAGCAAAAACUUGGUUUUCAUCUUUGCCCAAAAAUAGUAUUGAUUCUUGAAACAAGUGUAAAGAUGCUUGUUAAUUCAAGUAUUUUCCAUCGGCUAAGAUUAUCUCUCUCCGUAAUGAUAUCAUGAAUUUUAAGCAACUAGAUCAUGAACAUGUUUCACAAUCUUGUGAGAUAAUGAAAUUGAUGAUUAGAAAUUGUCCCGCUCAUGGCUUGAGUCUUUGGAUGAUUAUAUAAAUCUUCUAUGCUGGUUUGAAUUUUGCUUCUAGAAAUAUCUUGGAUUCCGCCUCCGGUGGAACUUUAUGGAAAUCACAUUAGGAGAAGCCACAAAACUCCUAGACAAUAUCAUGACAAACUAUUCUCAAUGGCAUACUGAAAGGUCACCUACUAGUAGAAAAGUGCAAGCUAUAGAAGAAAUUAACUCUUUGAGUGCUAAGAUGGAUGAGUUAAUGAAAUUGUUUGCUAGUAAAGGUGCUCCUCUAGAUCCAAAUGAUAUGCCUUUGUCUUCCUUGAUUGAGAAUAGCAAUGAGAGCUUGGAUGUUAAUUUUGUUGGUAGGAAUAAUUUUGGCAACAACAAUGCUUAUAGAGGUAACUUAAUUCCUAGGCCUUUUCCUAGUAAUUCCUCUAAUAACUUUGGCAAUUCCUACAACAAUGCUCAUGGAAAUUAUAAUAAAUUACCCUUUGAUCUUGAGAGUAAUAUUAAAGAGUUUAUCAACUCGCAAAAGAUUUCCAAUGCGUCCAUAGAAGAAAAACUGCUCAAAAUUGAUGACUUGGCUAGGACCAUUGAUAGAAUGUCUCUUGAUAUUAAUGCUUUAAAAUUGAGAUGUGCUCCUUCCAAGAUUAAUAUGGAUGAAACUUUGAAAGCUAUGCGUGUUUCCAUGAAUGAGAGUAAAGAAAGAACCGCCCAAAUUCGUGCUAGACAUGAAUGGCUUAAAAAGGCGUGUUCUCGUGAUGAGAAUCACGAAGAUCUUAAAGUGCUUGGUGUGACUCCUAUUGAAUCCUUGUUUUAUAAUGUCAAUCCUAAUGAUUAUGGGGCUGGAUAUGAAUCCACUUUGCUUGAAAACUGCCCCAAUGAUUCAGAGUCUAUCUACCUUGAUGCUAAAAGCACUGAAAGUGGAGUAGAGGAUAUCAAAACUUUGAGUAGUGAUGAAAUUACUACUUUGGAUUUCAAGGAAUUCAAUUAUGAUAAUUUCUCUUUGAUUGAAUGUAUUUCCUUGGUGCAAUCCAUGCUAAACUCUCCACAUGGUUAUAGCCAAAAAUAAAGCCUUUACCGAUCAUAUCGUUGGUGCUAUGAUGAAAUCUCUUGAAGAGAAACUUGAGUUGGAAGUUUCUAUUCCUAGAAAACUUCAUGAUGAGUGGGAACCUACUAUCAAAAUCAAGAUUAAAAACUAUGAAUGCAAUGCUUUGUGUGAUUUGGGUGCUACUGUUUCCGCUAUUCCAAAGUCUUUAUGUGAUGUUCUAGGCUUCAACGAGAUUGAUGAGUGCUCUCUUAAUUUGCAUCUUGCGGAUUCUACUGUUAAGAAACCUAUGUGAAGGAUCAAUGGUGUUCUUAAUAUUUCAAAUAGGAACUAUGUACCCGUGGAUUUCAUUGUGCUUGAUAUUGACUGCAAUCCUACAUGUCCCAUCAUUCUUGGUAGACCUUUCCUUAGGACUAUUGGUGCUAUCAUCGAUUUGAAGGAAGGGAAUAUUAGAUUUCAAUUUCCAUUAAAGAAGAGCAUGGAACACUUUCCUAGAAAGAAAAUAAGAUUGCCUUAUGAAUCCAUGAUGAGGGCUACUUAUGGUUUGAGCACCAAAGAUGACGAUACUUGAUUCUAUUGUCUUAUGCCUAGCUAAGGGCGUUAAACAAUAGCGCUUGUUGGGAGGCAACCCAAUGAAUUUAUCUUUGCUUUUUGCUUUAUGUUUUGUUGUGUCCACACCAUCAUAAUUCUCUUAUGAUUGUGUUUUUUGUGUUUCCUUUUGUGUUUGAGCCAAGUAAAACCUUUAUGACUACUUUUGGUGAUGGUUGUUUGAUCGUGCUGAAAAAGACAGAAACUUUGCGCUCACGAAAUUAUUUUUCAUUCCUAUCCACAAGAGCUUUUGAGUUGAUUAUUUUUUCUUCUGGUUGAUAUGCCAAUUUCCCUAAUUUACAUAACGUUUCAGAAAUUUUGAGAUACCAGAAGUAUACGAAGUAUACAGAUUGCUAUAGACUGGCCUGUUUUUGACAGAUUCAGUUUUUGUUGUGUUGAUUGCUUAUUUUGAUGAAACCAUAGAUAGUAUCGGGGGGAGGGGGGUACUAGCCAUGGAAAAGUGAGAAUACAUAAAUAUAACACCAAUAUAAAUAGAAAUCAAGUUUGCUACAAUACCUAAAGAGGUGGUGGUUUGUUUUCUUAUGCUAAUGAUAUCAGGAGUUUGUGUUUAAGUUUUGUGUUGUGAAGUUUUCAAGUUUUGGGUGAUGUUCUCAUAGACAAUGGGAUAAAGAGUGUAAAGAUCUCAAGCUUGGGGAUGCCCAAAGCAUCCCAAGCCAAAUUCAAGGACACAAAAAAGCCUAAGCUUGGGGAUGCCCCGGGAAGGCAUCCCCUCUUUCGUCUUCAAUCCAUCGGUAACGUUACUUGGAGCUAUACUUUUAUUCACCACAUGAUAUGUGUUUUGCUUGGAGCGUCGUGUAUUAUAGGAGUCUUUUAUUUUUGUCGUGUCACAAUCAUCCUUGCUGCACACCUUUUUGAGAGACACAUGCACACAUCAUGAAUUUUCUAGAAUACUCAUUGAGCUUCACUUAUAUCUUUUGAGUUAGGCAAUUUAGCUCAUUGUUCUUCACUUAUACCUUUUGAGCUAGAUAACUUUGCUCUAGUGCUUCACUUAGAUCUUUUUAGAGCACGGCGGUGUCAUAUUUUGGAGAAAUAAGAACUCUCGAUCUUCACUUAUAUCUUUUUGAGAGUGCUCUCUCUAAGUAACUUGGUAGUUGGCGUGUGCCAUGAAAGAGUCCUAAAGAUGAUAGGCAUCCAAAGAGGAUAUAAUAAAAACUUCCAUAUUCAUGUGCAUUGAUUAGUAAGAGAAGUUUGAUUCCUCUCAAUUAUUUUUGAGAUAUGGAUUUGGUAAUAUUAGAGUUAUGUUAGUAGGGUGUUGUGAAUCUAGAAAUACUUGUGUUGAAGUUAGUAAUUCCCGUAGCAUGCACGUAUGGUGAACCGCUAUGUUAGGAAGUCGGAGCAUAAUUGAUUUAUUGAUUGCCAUCCUUUGUGUUGCGGUCGGGAUCGCGCGAUGGUUAACACCUACCAACCCUUCCCCUAGGAGUAUGCGUUUAGCACUUUGUUUCGAUUACUAAUAAAACCUUCGCAAUAAGUAUAUGAGUUCUUCAUGACUAAUGUGAGUCCAUGGUAUAGAUGCACUUUCACCUUCCACCAUUGCUAGCCUCUCUAGUGACGCGCAACUCUCGCCGAUGCACAAACCCACCAUACCUUCCUCAAAACAGCCACCAUACCUACCUACUAUGGCAUUUUCAUAGCCAUUCCGAGAUAUAUUGCCAUGCAACUCCCACCGUUCCGUCUCAUGAAAUGUGCCGUCACUUUCAUAUUGCCAUUGCAUGAUCGUAAGAUAGCUAGCGAGAUGUUUCAACAUCAUACGCUAAGCUAUAUCGUUGCACAUCCCGGUACACUACCGGAGGCAUUUCCUAUAGAGUCAUCAUUGCUCUAAGUGUUGAGUUAUAAGUAAAUAAAAGUGUGAUGAUCAUCGCUAUUAGAGCAUUGUCCCAUGUGAGCAAAUAAAAAAAAGAGGCCAAAGAUGCCCACCAAAAAAAUGAAAAGAGGCCAAAGAGCCCAAAGAUAGAGAGAGAGAGAGAGAGAGAGAGAAAGAGAGAAGGGACAAUGUGAUGACCCACAAGUAUAGGGGAUCAAUCGUAGUCCUUUCGAUAAGUAAGAGUGUCGAACCCAACAAGGAGCAGAAGGCUCUGAUAGAUGGAUUUCAGCAAGGUAAUAACUGCAAGCACUCAUAGUAGCAGUAACAAGUGAUUGUGUAGCGAGGUGAAACGUAGCAAGCAAAGAGUAACAAGUAACAAGUAGUAGCAACGGUGCAGCAAGUGGCCCAAUCCCUUUUGUAGCAAGGGACAAGCCUGAACAAAGUCUUAUAGGAGGAAAAACGCUCCCGAGGACACACGGGAAUUUCUGUCAUGCUAGUUUCAUCAUGUUCAUAUGAUUCACGUUCGUUACUUUGAUAGUUUGAUAUGUGGGUGGACCGGCGCUUGGGUACUGCCCUUACUUGGACAAGCAUCCCACUUAUGAUUAACCUCUCUCGCAAGCAUCCGCAACUACAAAAGAAGAAUUAAGGCAAAGUCUAACCAUAGCAUUAAACUAGUGGAUCCAAAUCAGCCCCUCACGAAGCAGCGCAUAAACUGGGGUUUAAGCUUCUGUCAGUCCAGCAACCCAUCACCUACUUACUACUUCCCANNNNNNNNNNNNNNNNNNNNNNNNNNNNNNNNNNNNNNNNNNNNNNNNNNNNNNNNNNNNNNNNNNNNNNNNNNNNNNNNNNNNNNNNNNNNNNNNNNNNNNNNNNNNNNNNNNNNNNNNNNNNNNNNNNNNNNNNNNNNNNNNNNNNNNNNNNNNNNNNNNNNNNNNNNNNNNNNNNNNNNNNNNNNNNNNNNNNNNNNNNNNNNNNNNNNNNNNNNNNNNNNNNNNNNNNNNNNNNNNNNNNNNNNNNNNNNNNNNNNNNNNNNNNNNNNNNNNNNNNNNNNNNNNNNNNNNNNNNNNNNNNNNNNNNNNNNNNNNNNNNNNNNNNNNNNNNNNNNNNNNNNNNNNNNNNNNNNNNNNNNNNNNNNNNNNNNNNNNNNNNNNNNNNNNNNNNNNNNNNNNNNNNNNNNNNNNNNNNNNNNNNNNNNNGCCCCCUUCCCCACCGGCGACCCACCCCACCAGAACUCCACCACCUCGGCCACCAUUGCAGCACGGGAGUCCCAGCCGAGGUAACCUCCCCUCCCUCCUUUCUUUUUUUUACUUGUUUUGUUUUUUUUAGUUUUAGCCCUUAGAUCUAUUUCCAACGGUGUAGAUUAGGAAGUACUUACCCCUUCGGUCUUUUAGAUAAAACCGAUCGGUUUUUCCUUCACUUAAGAUUAGCCGAAACGAACUAGUUAAAUAGCGGCAGUUUGUUAGUUAACCCCGCAGCACUCACCCCCUUAGCCAAUUAGAAAAUGCCACGUGGACCCCUGUCCACAAAUCAGUUUUUUCCUUUUUCUGUUUUAAUUCCAAAACAACAAAGUUUCAAUCUUGUUUUGGCCAUAACAUUUGAUCCCGAAGUCCAAUAGAGUUGAUUCUUUUUCCAGUAGCUCACAAAUUUACUAUAGUUUGUAAAAACAUAUAAUUUGUCUAUGUUUGAAAUUUUCAAAUAUAAGUUAGAUCAGAUUUAGUUUAAACCUUGUUUUGCUUAUUCCAGGAGUUUAAAAAUAGCUUUUAAUUUGAUUCCUUUUGGUACUGAUCACUAGUGAUCUUAUGUAUCAGUGGUAAAAAUGUCAGAUUUGUUUAAGUAUUUUAGCUCACUGUUUCAUGUGAAACAAUUUCUGUUUCACCUCUUUUAGGAUUGCGGCUAAUUCCUUUUCUAUUUUUGUUUUAAAAUAUUUUCUUUAUUAUUUCAGAAACAUUAUUGUUUUGUUUAUGUUAGUUAACAGUAGUUUUGCAACAAGUUUUUAUUUUAUUUUAUUUGUUAUCAUGAAAUCAAUUCUAGUUCCUUAGUAACUUGCAAUUGGUUUCACCACUGUUUCAAAUCCCGUUUGGGAAUACUUUCAAAAAAGUUUGGUGAAAAAUAUUUUAUUUUAUCUUAGUUAAACUUAUAUCUUAGUUCCUUGUUAUUAUUUUCUGUUAGACAAAAACUAUUUAGUGUUUGACGUAGUAGAAGACUCCCUAGUCUUAUUUGAAGUUUCUUUCGGUUUCCUAUUCGCUCUCUCUUUGGUUUUGAUUGCUAGAAUGAUUGCUAGUAUGAGUGCUUAUGUGAAUGAUAUGUUUGUUAUAUAGAUUUCAUCGGAGAGUGACGAGUAGUCUAUCAAGUUAUUUCUCGAGAAAUUCUUCUUCGUCAACAUCACCAGGCAAGUCACUUUGAUCAUACUAUCACCUAUGUUUUAUGCAUCGUAGUUCUACCAUCCUAUGCCCAAUUGCAUGCUGCUUAGGUACUUGGAAAUUUUAGUAUAGAUUGUAGUAUCAUGUGGUAGGCACACAACAACCCCGAUACUUGGCCCCGGGACGACAAAUUUCAUAUUGCUAUGCUUGAGUAGACGGGAUUUCGGUUGAGUGCAUAACACGAGUGAUGCGAGGUUGAUUAAAUAAUCAAGACCGGUCAAGACAAGAUUUUCAAGACCUCGGACGCAAUGCAACUCUGGGUGAAGGACGGUUGAUCGGCUCCCUGGAGAACCCAGUGGAUGACCCGGGAUGCUGGGGACGGCCAUGACAUCCUGCGGAAAGCUUCACCCAGGCUCAAAGAGACGGACGGAUAUUUUCAAGACCCAAGGCUUACCUGCACAGCCACAAGUCAUUAUGGGCUCUGGCUUGGUUGGACAACGCGGCGACUCUGGACAGGCGGUGCUAGCAGAUGUAGAAGAACGGUAGGAAUGGAUGGGCACCGACAAGGAUUCAGAGGGACCCGUUGAAAGACCAUGUUUUGAUCAUCCGGUCUUCAAACACCCUGAAGUGCGAGGACAAACACGGAGGCGAUCAAAUCUUGUGGGGAACGUGUGCAAAACUCUGCAGAGUACUCAAACCUAAUCGAUUAGCCGUAUCCACGGUCAUGGACGACUUGAGCCAAAGGAACUGAAGUUAUCUGGAUUUCUCAACACCAUUAAAUAUAUUUGAUGUGGGUAAUUAUUGACAACUCGGGUACGAGAACUGGUUGGCGGAACCAUCUCAUUAACAACCAACUACGUAGUAAUAUUUUGCUUUUAGCCCUCUCUUGAUGUAGGAGAAAAUUUGCUUUACGCUAAAACUUAUAGCCCCACCUGCCAAAUAUGCAUGUAGAGAUAGUUGGUUAUUAUUUUACUCCUCUCUUAUGUGACUUGCCGGCAUAUUCAAUAUGCUGACCUACACGGCUGCAACGUCUUAUGUUGCAGAUAUUUUUCUUCGACGAGUAAGAGUACGAUUCAGGGUUACGGUCUACACUCAACUUGCCGUUGGUGUUUAUUGGGACUCCACUCCCUUGACUGCUUCUGCUGAGAUAUUUAAGGUAUAUAUCAGUUUUACGUUAUUUACAUGUGAUUGCACUUUGAUAUAUACAUUGAUGUACUGUGUGUGCCAGCAUACUGAUCCAGGGAUGGCACAGAAACACAGAGGCUUGACUCGUCUUGAGUCGGGUCGCUACAUAAAGAUUCUUAUGGGAAAGUAACAAUGCCUUCACAAAGCAAAGCAUGAAGCAAAAAACCUUACCGAGAAGUAACCAACAAUAGUCCGCAAUUUAUCACAACCUCAGAAAGAGUCAAAUAAGAGCUUGUAAGGCAAACCCACAUACUCAAUCAUCUCUUUUGUUUUCCACAAUUGUUAUAACUCACGUGGUACUCAUGGUGUCAAAGUUUCAGCUGGACACAAAGGAAGAUAGGGGCUUAUAGUUUUGCCUCCCAUCGGUUUACCUCAAGGGUAAAGUCAACAACAAUAAAGCAUAAGUACUCAACUCCAAGUUGAUAUAGGAAUAUAGAUCUUUCCUAAACAUGCGACGGUAGCCAAGACAACAAAAAGCGAAUUGGUGAUGAUCACCAUGACUCUUACAAGGGUAAAAAGUAAAGGUACAAGAUAGGCCCUUCGUAGAGGGAAGCAGAGGUUGUCACGCGCUUUUGAGGUUUGGAUGCGUGUCCUCUUAGUGCGGAGGAACGUCACUUUAUAUUGCCUCCUAUGAUAAAGAACUUUAUUAUGCAGUCUGUCGCUUUUAUGUCUUCCUCACCGCAGGUUCGUACAAAGCUUAUUUUCCACACACUAAUAGAUCAUACAUAUUAGAGAGCAAUUUUCAUUGCUUGCACCGAUGACAACUUACUUGAAGGAUCUUAUUCAAUCCAUAGGUAGGUAUGGUGGACUCUCAUGGCAAAACUGGUUGGAGGUUUAUGGAUGCACAAGUAGUAUCUCUACUUGGUGCGGGAGUUUUGGCUAAUAUGAGGUGGAAGUAAUCGUCACAUGCUAAGGGAUCUCUAAUCAUAUAACAUUGUUUGGAACUAAGCAAACACAAUUCAUUAUGUUGUCUUCCUUUUCCAAUAUCUACUCCUAGGCAUGUAAUAGUUUGGUGAGUGCUCACAAUUGUAAAAAGUGUCUAAGAUGAUAUAUUUAUAUGUGAACCUCUCUUUCCUUAUCACUUCUUAUUAAUUGCAACAAUGACUAAUGUCUAUGUUGAUUUAUUCUCAACAAGUUUCAAUCAUCAUACAUGUCCCAAAUGAAGUUAUCACUUUCCAUAAGAUCGUCUCAUGAUCUUUCAUGCUAUCGUUCUUUUCAUACUUUUGAUCAUGGCACAAAGCAAAGCCCUUGACUACGACACUCUUUAUUAUAUAGCUCGUAAGCUCGAAUACAUUGGGGGAGAGACAAAAGCAAAAAACCUCAAACUAAAAACUAAAGACUUAUUCCUCUAAAAGAAGAAAUAAAAACUGAAAAGGAAAGAACUAAAAUAAAGGUAAAAGCAAAAGAUAUAAAGGUGAUACGAUACCAGGGCAACUCCCCCAAGUUUGGCAGAAGCCAAGGGGAUUUCCCAUACCAAUGCUUAAUUGUCUUCCUUUGGUGGUGAUGGUGUUGUUGUUGUUGGAGUAGUCUUGAGCUUGUCUAAUUUCCACUUGAGCAAAAAGUUUUGCUCCCUUAGAUCGUCAUUUUCCUCCUCAAGUGUCAAAACUCUGUGGCAAAGCUCCUGCUUACUCCCCUGCAAGAAACGAGAAGGGAUAAACAAGGUCUUAGGCUUCUUCCUAUGGUCAGGGAGGCUUGACUUCUUGAACUCCACAUGGGUGUUUGCAGGUUGAGGUAGAGGAGCCUCCUCUUCAUCGGAACUCGUUUGCUCCUUCCCUUUGGGCUCAUAGUCCUCUUCCUCAUCAGUGGUCCAGCCAUAUGGUUCCAAGUCCCCAUAGACCUUGGGGUUAGCAAGGUAUUCAGCCACAUAGCUCUCUCCCUCUGGAUCUUGAGAAGACAUCUUGACCUAGAUCUGCGUCAGAAACAAGCUCGAAACAAAAACAGAGGAAAACUGCGCGAUAUGGAGAUCAAAACCUUCGGGCGACUAUAUAUUAAUUUUUUUCUGGGCCAGAAGGAGUCCUCCGCAAGAAAACGGAGUCCGGGAGGCACACGAGGUGCCCACAAGCUUGCCCACCGCCACCAGGGGGGUGGUGGCAGAGUGGGCCCUUGUGGCUUCCUCGUUUGCUCUCCGGACUGCUUUUUAUUUUUCUAAUUUUCCAAAAAUUCCAAAAUUGAGGAAAUUUCCUAUUGGAAAAGCAUCGGAGUACAAUUUCUUGCCAAAAUAGAUACAUCUUUGUUUUCAAGGUCUGAAACAGGGUGAUAAACAUCCCUUAUGUACUCCUCUCGAGUUAUGACAUUGAUGAUAUUGGUCUCAACAUUUAUGGGAGUACCAGAGAUGUAAUGCUUGAUUCUUUGCCCAUUUACCACUAUAGGAAAAAUUUCUUCCGUGUUAUUGAUUUUGAUGGCACCGGAACGAUAUACUUCCUCGACAACAUAGGGACCUUCCCAUUUAGAGAGAAGCUUGCCUGCAAAGAAUCUCAAACGAGAAUUGUAUAGCAAGACAUAAUCACCCACAAUUAACUCUCGUUUCUGUAUCCGUUUGUCGUGCCAUCUCUUAACCUUUUCCUUGAACAACCUGGCAUUCUCGUAUGCCUGGGCUCUCCAUUAAUCUAACGAGCUCAUAUCAAACAACCGCUUCUCACCGGCAAGUUUGAAAUCAAAGUUGAGCUCUUUGAUUGCCCAAUAAGCUUUGUGUUACAGCUCAAGAGGUAAAUGGUAGGCCUUACCGUAAACCAUUUUAUACGGUGACAUGCCCAUGGGAUUCUUAUAAGCAGUCCUAUAAGCCCAUAGUGCAUCGUCAAGUUUGCUAGCCCAAUUCUUUCGAGAUCUAUUGACGGUCUGUUGUAGGAUCAACUUGAUCUCCCUAUUACUCAACUCAAAUUGACCACUCGACUGAGGAUGAUAAGGAGAUGCAACUCUAUGGUUGACAUCAUACUUAGCUAGCAUCUUGCGGAAAACACCAUGAAUAAAGUGUGAACCGCCAUCAGUCAUCAAGUUUCUAGGGACUCCAAAUCUUGGGAAUAUGACUUCUUUAAGCAUCUUAAUAGAGGUGUGGUGAUCAGCAUUUUUAGUGGGGAUAGCUUCUACCCACUUAGUAACAUAAUCCACAGCAACUAAGAUGUGUGUGUACCCAUUGGAACUCGGGAAGGGUCCCAUAUAAUCAAAGCCCCAGACAUCAAAUGGUUCAAUGACAAGUGAAUAGUUCAUAAGCAUCUCUUGAUGCUUACUGAUGUUCCCUAUCCUUUGGCAUUCAUCACAAGACAAGACAAACUUACGAGCAUCCUUGAGGAGAGUGGGCCAAUAGAAACCUGAUUGCAAUACCUUAUGGGCAGUUCUAUCUCCAGCAUGGUGUCCUCCGUAGGCUUAGGAAUGACACUUCUGCAGGAUCUGUCCCUGUUCAUGUUCAGGCACACAACAUAUAAUAACACCAUCUACUCCUUCCUUAUAAAGGUGAGGAUCAUCCCAAAAGUAGUGUCUCAAAUCAAAGAAGAAUUUCUUCUUUUGUUGAUAGGUGAAACUGGGUGGUAUGUAUUUGGCUACGAUAUAGUUUGCAUAAUUGGCAUACCAUGAUGCACUAAGUGAAGUGCGGACGACACUUAAUUGCUCAUCAGGAAAGCUGUCAUCAAUUGGUAGUGGGUCAUCAAGGACAUUCUCUAGCCUAGACAAGUUAUCUGCUAGAGGGUUAUCAGCACCCUUUCGGUCAACGAUGUGCAAAUCAAAUUCCUGUAGCAGGAGAACCCAUCUGAUCAGCCUAGGCUUAGCGUCCUUCUUCUGCAUAAGGUACUUAAUAGCAGCAUGAUUAGAGUGAAUAGUGACUUUGGAGUAAACUAUGUAAGAUCUGAACUUUUCACAUGCAAACACGACCGCUAAAAAUUCCUUCUCCGUAGUGGCAUAGUUUCUUUGGGCAUUGUCUAGAGUUUUACUAGCGUAGUGAAUGACAUUCAACUUCUUGUCAACUCUUUGUCCUAGAACAGCACCAACGGCAUAAUCACUAGCGUCACACAUGAUUUCAAAGGGCAAGUUCCAGUCAGGUGGUUGAACAAAUAGGUGCGGUUAUCAAAACCUUCUUAAGUAUUUCGAAAGCUUCCUCACAAUCCUCAUCAAAAACAAAAGGAACAUCCUUCUGCAAGAGGUUGGUAAGAGGCCUAGAAAUCUUAGAGAAAUCUUUAAUGAACCUUCUAUAGAAACCAGCAUGACCUAGGAAACUUCGUAUACCUCUGAUAUAUGUGGGGCAAGGCAUUUUAUCAAUUGCAUCAACCUUAGCCUUAUCAACUUCAAUGCCUCUCUCAGAAAUUUUGUGUCCUAAGACGAUACCUUCAUUAACCAUAAAGUGGCACUUCUCCCAAUUCAAGACGAGGUUGGUUUCUUCGCGUCUCUGUAAGACUCGAUCAAGGUUGCUGAGGCAAUCAUCAAAGGAAGACCCGUAAACAGAGAAGUCAUCCAUGAAAACCUCGACAAUCUUUUCACAAAAGUCAGAGAAUAUAGCCAUCAUACAUCUUUGGAAGGUGGCAGGUGCAUUACAUGAGCCAAAAGGCAUACGUCUAUAGGCAAAGGUACCGAAAGGACACGUGAAAGUGGUUUUCUCUUGAUCAGAUUGUGCAACAUGUAUUUGCGAGAAACCUGAAUAACCGUCUAGAAAGCAUAAGUGUGUGUGUUUUGAUAGCCUUUCUAGCAUUUGGUCGAUGAACGACAAAGGAUAAUGAUCUUUCCUGGUUGCCUUGUUCAGUUUUCGGAAGUCUAUCACCAUUCUAUAGCCGGUAAUAAUCCUUUGUAGGUUUAGUUCAUCCUUAUCAUUAGGAACGACGGUGAUACUGUUGGGUAACGUAGCAUAAAUUCAAAAUUUUCCUACGCAUAUUCAGAUCUUCCUAUGGAGAGACCAGCAACGAGAGAGGGGUAAAAGCAUCUUCAUACCUUUGAAAAUUGCUAAGCGGAAGCGUUGCUAGAACGCGGUUGAUGGAGUCGUACUCGCAGCGAUUCCGAUCUAGUGCCGAACUACGGCACCUCUGCGUUCAACACACGUGCGGCCCGGUGACGUCUCCCGCACCUUGAUCCAGCAAGGAGGAGGGAGAGGUUGGGGAAGAACUCCAGCAGCACGACGGUGUGGUGUCGAUGGAGAGACGAGCUCUCCCGGCAGGGCUUCGCCAAGCACCGGCAGAGAGGAGGAGAAAGAAUAGCAGGGCUGCGCCGAGGGAGAGGGAAAAGUCUAAUCUCCAAUGGCCAAAAGUGCCCACUAUAUAUAGGGGAAGGGGAGAGGGGGUGCCACCCCUAGGGUUCCCACCCUAGGGGGUGCGGCAGCCCCCCAGAUGGGAGGUGCGGCGGCCAGAGGGGGGAGGAGGGGGUGGCGCACCAACUGGUGGCCCUUAGGCCCACCUGGCUUAGGGUUUGCCCCCCUUUUCUCUCCCUUGCGCAAUGGGCUGAGUGGGGAGGCGCACCAGCCCACCUAGGGGCUGGUUCCCACCCUCACUUGGCCCACCUUACCUCCCGGGGUCGUUGCCCCCCUUCGGUGGUCCCCCGAGGCCACCUCCGGUGGUCCCGGUACGUUACCGGUGAUGCCCGAAACACUUCCGGUAUCCGAAACCAUCCGUCCUAUAUAUCAAUCUUUACCUCCGGACCAUUCCGGAGCUCCUCGUGACGUCCGGGAUCUCAUCCGAGACUCCAAACAACUUUCGGUAACCUCGUAUAACAAUUCCCUAUAACCCUAGCGUCACCGAACCUUAAGUGUGUAGACCCUACGGGUUUGGGAGACAGGCAGACAUGACCGAGACACCUCUCUGGCCAAUAACCAUCAGCGGGGUCUGGAUACCCAUGGUGGCUCCCACUUGCUCCACGAUGAUCUCAUCGGAUGAACCACGAUGUCAAGGAUUCAAUCAAUCCCGUAUACGAUUCCCUUUGUCUGUCGGUAUAGAACUUGCCCGAGAUUCGAUCGUCGGUAUACCUAUACCUUGUUCAAUCUCGUUACCGGUAAGUCUCUUUACUCAUUCCGUAGCACGUCAUCGUGUGACUAACUCCUUAGUCACAUUGAGCUCAUGAUGAUGUUCUACCGAGUGGGCCCAGAGAUACCUCUCCGUCACACGGAGUGACAAAUCCCGAUCUCGAUUCGUACCAACCCAACAAACACUUUCGGAGGUACCCGUAGUGCACCUUUAUAGUCACCCAGUUACGUUGUGACGUUUGAUACACCCAAAGCACUCCUACGGUAUCCGGGAGUUGCACAAUCUCACGAUCGAAGGAAAAGAUACUUGACAUUAGAAAAGCAUUAGCAUACGAACAAUACGAUCUAGUGCUAGGCUUAGGAUUGGGUCUUGUCCAUCACAUCAUUCUCCCAAUGAUGUGAUCCCGUUAUCAAUGACAUCUAUUGCCCAUGAUCAGGAAACCAUGAUCAUCUAUUGACUAACAAGCUAGCCAACUAGAGGCUUGCUAGGGACACAUUGUAAUCUAUUUAUUCACACAUGUAUUACUGUUUCCUGUUAAUACAAUUAUAGCAUGAACAAUAGACGAUUAUCAUGAACAAGGAAAUAUGAUAAUAACCAUAUUAUUAUUGCCUCUAGGGCAUAUUUCCAACAGAUACCUCCCUUCUUAGGUAAGCAAUGUACUGAACUUACCCAAUCACUAUGAGCGACAUGAUAAAUGAUUCCUGCUUCCAAAAGCUUUAAUAUUUCUUUUCUAACGACCUCUUUCAUCUUAGGAUUUAAUCUCCUUUGAUGAUCAGCAACUGGUUUAAAGUCAGGAUCGGUUUUAAUCUUGUGCUGACAUAGAGUAGGACUAAUACCCUUAAGAUCAUCAAGAGUAUAUCCAAUAGCAGCGCGGUGCUUCCUCAGAGUUUUUAGUAACUUCUUCUCUUCACGCUCUGAGAGGAGAGCACUAAUAAUGACAGGAUAUAUCUCCUUCUCAUCAAGAUAGGCAUACUUAAGAGUAUCAGGCAACUGUUUAAGCUCGAACACAAGAUCACCCUUUGGUGGGGGAGGAUCCCCAAGUAGUUCAACAGGCAGAUUAUUCUUGAGAAUAGGAUGUUGUUCUAAGACAAUUCUAUAUAUCUCAUCUCUCUCCUCCAUAUGCAUAUCAUUUUCAUGCUCAAGCAGAUAUUGCUCUAAAGGGUCCGUAGGAGGUACGGCAAUAGAGGCAAGAGCAAUGAUUUCAUCUCUGCCAGACGACUCUCUUUCAUGGGGUUGUCUUUCAAACUUGGAGAAGUUAAAUUCAUGAGACACACCCUCGAAACUUACUGUGACAGUCUGCUUAAUGCAAUCAAUGUGAGCAUUGACAGUGUUGAGAAAGGGUCUACCGAAUAUGAUGGGACAAAAGCUAUCUUGUGCAGUACCAAGGACGAGGAAAUCAGUAGGAUACUUUGUCUUACCACACAGGACUUCUACGUCUCUCACAAUUCCCAGAGGGCAGAUAGUGUCUCUAUUAGCUAGCGUGAUAGUGACAUCAAUGGGUUCUAUCUCAGCAGGUGCAAUCUCAUCUUUGAUUUCAUCAUAGAGAGAACGGGGUAUUGCACUAACACUAGCUCCCAUAUCACAUAAACCAUGGUAACAGUGAUCUCCUAUCUUAACAGAAACAACGGGCAGGCCAACUACAUGUCCGUGCUUGUCUUUCGCGUGAGGUUUAGCAAUUCUAGCGGAGUCCUCAUAGAAUUUAAUAACAUGCCCGUCUAUGUCUUCGGCUAAGAGAUCUUUGAUAAUAGCAACACUAGGUUCAACUCUAAUCUCCUCAGGGGGUGCAAGUGGUCUAAUGUAACCCCUACGUAUCACAGUUGGAGCUUUAGAAUAAUCCUUCAUUCUAGCAGGGUAUGGUGGUUUCUCAAUGUAAGCACAAGGAACAACAGGAUCACUAAAAGCUAUUAUUUUCUCCUCAACUAGAUUGGUUUUGGCUAUGUUGCUUUCUACUGGAGGAUGAUAUUUAAACCACUUCUCUUUGGGAAGUUCAUCAUGAGCAGCAAAAGAUUCACAUAGAUAAGCUACUAUCUCAGAGUCAAGUCCAUACUUAGCGCUAAAAUCUCUAGAAGUGUUUGUCUCAACAAAAGAUUUAAUGCAAUCAAACUGGAAAUUCAUACCUGAGUCCUUACCUUCCUCCAGCUCCCAAUCUUCAGAGUUGUGUUUGAUUCUCUCCAAUAAAUUCCACUUGUGAUCAAUAUCCUUCUCCAUAAAAGAACCGGCACAAGAAGUGUCAAGCAUGGUACGAUCUUCAGUAGAAAGCCGAGCAUAAAAGUUUUGAGUGAUGAUUUCUCUCGAGAGCUCACGAUUGGGGCAUGGAUAUAGCAUUGAUUUAAGCCUCCCCCAAGAUUGAGCUAUGCUUUCCCUGUCACGAGGCAAAAAGUUAUAAAUAAAGUUCCGAUCACGAUGUACUAAAUGCAUAGGAUAGAACUUUUGAUGAAAUUCCAAUUUCAAACGAUUGUAGCCCCAUGAUCCAGCAUCAUCACAUAGCCUAUACCAUGUCAACGCCUUAUCCUUCAAAGAUAAAGGAAAGACUUUCUUCUUUACCUCAUACUCGAGCAAACCUGCAAGCUUAAAUAAACCACAAACUUCAUCUACAUAAAUUAGAUGAAAGUCUGGAUGUGAAGAUCCAUCUCCUGUAAAAGGAUUAGCCAGCAGUUUCUCAAGCAUACCCAAAGGAAUUUCAUAAAAGAUAUUUUCAGUAGGUACCUCAGGUCGAGGAGCAAAUCCUCGUGCUUCCGUUCGUGGUGAAGAUACCCCGAACAAACUCCUCAAAGGAAGAGUUUCCAUAGUGACAACUUACAAUAAAUUUCAGCACAAUAUAAAAAUGUUUCCUUACCAAUUUCCACUUACCAAAGGCGCUUCACUCCCAGCAUCGGCGCCAGAAAAGAGUCUUGAUGACCCACAAGUAUAGGGGAUCAAUCAUAGUCCUUUCGAUAAGUAAGAGUGUCGAACCCAACGAGGAGCAGAAGGCUCUGAUAGAUGGAUUUCAGCAAGGUAAUAACUGAAAGCACUGAAAGUAGCGGUAACAAGUGAUUGUGUAGCGAGGUGAAACGUAGCAAGCAAAGAGUAACAAGUAAAAAGUAGUAGCAACGGUGCAGCAAGUGGCCCAAUCCCUUUUGUAGCAAGGGACAAGCCUGAACAAAGUUUUAUAGGAGGAAAAACGCUCCCGAGGACACACGGGAAUUUCUGUCAUGCUAGUUUCAUCAUGUUCAUAUGAUUCACGUUCGUUAGUUUGAUAGUUUGAUAUGUGGGUGGACCGGCACUUGGGUACUGCCCUUACUUGGACAAGCAUCCCACUUAUGAUUAACCUCUUUCGCAAGCAUCCGCACCUACAAAAUAAGAAUUAAGACAAAUUCUAACCAUAGCAUUAAACUAGUGGAUCCAAAUCAGCCCCUCACGAAGCAGCGCAUAAACUGGGGUUUAAGCUUCUGUCACUCCAGCAACCCAUCAUCUACUUACUACUUCCCAAUGCAUUCCUCUAGGCCCAAAUACGGUGAAGUGUUAUGUAGUCGACGUUCACAUAACACCACUAGAGGAAAAACAACAUACAUCAUAUCAAAAUACCGAACGAAUAUCAAAUUCACAUGACUAUUAUCAGCAUGACUUAUCCCAUGUCCUCAGGAACAAAAGUAACUACUCACAAGACAUAAUCAUAAUCAUGACCAGAGGUGUAAUGAAUAGCAUCAAGGAUCUGAACAUAAACUCUUCCACCAAAUAAUCCAACAAGCAUCAACUACAAAGAGUAAUCAACACUACUAGCAACCUUACAAGUACCAAUCAGAGUUGCGAGACGGAGAUUGGUUACAAGAUAUGAACUAGGGAUUGGAGAGGAGAUGGUGCUGAUGAAGAUGUUGAUGAAGAUGCCUCCCCUCCGACGAGAGGAGUGUUGGUGAUGAUGAUGGCGACGAUUCCCCCCUCCGGGAGGGAAAUUUCCCCGGCAGGAUCGUCCUGCCGGAGCUCUAGAUUGGAUCUGCUCAAGUUUCGCCCCGUGGCGGCGGCGAAACCACGAAAAAGCUCCCGGUUGAUUUUUUCCAGGUCAGGACGCAUCAUAUAGCAAAAGAGAGGGGCUAGUGGGCCUUCAGGCAGCCCACAAGCUUGCCCACCGCCACUAGGGGGGUGGUGGCGGAGUGGGGGCUUGUGGGGCCCUGGUGGCCCCCCUCCGGUAGUUCUUUCACCUAGUAUUUUUAAUAUAUUCCAGAAAAAAUCCACGUAAAUUUUCAGGGCAUUUGGAGAUGUGUAGAAUAGUGGACUAGGAUUUGCUCCUUUUCCAGUCCAGAAUUCCAGCUGCCUGAAUUCUCCCUAUUCAAAUAAUCCUUGCAAAAUAAGAGAGAAAAGGCAUAAAUAUGGUACCACAAGUAAUAUAACAGCCCAAAAAGCAAUAAAUAUCAACAUGAAAGCAUGAUGCAAAAUGAACGUAUCACAAUGCUACUAUCUUUUUCCACACUUGUGCUUCACAAUAGCACCAUGUUCUUCAUGAUUGAGAGUCUCUUGUUUUGACACUUCCAUAUACUAGUGGGAAUUUUCAUUAUAUAACUUGGCUUGUGUAUUCCAAUGAUGGGCUUCCUCAAAAUUGCCCUAGGUCUUCGUGAGCAAGCAAGUUGGGUGCACACCCACUAGUUCUCCUUUUGAGCUUUCACACACUUAUAACUCUAAGUGCAUCCGUUGCAUGCUAACCCCUACUCAUUCACAUUGAUAUCUAUUGAUGGGCAUCUCCAUAGCCCGUUGAUACCCCGAGUCGAUGUGACCAUCUCCUCCUUUUUGCCUCACAACCUCCACCACACUCUAUUCCACCUAUAGUGCUAUAUCCAUGGCUCGUGCUCGUGUAUUGCGUGAGAGUUGAAAAAGGUUGAGAAAUUAAGAGUGCGAAAACAAUUACUUGGCCAAUAUCGGGGUUGUGCAUGAUUUAAAUUCGUUGUGUGGGGAAUAUGGAGCAUAGCCAGACUAUAUGAUUUUGUAGGGAUAACUUUCUUUGGCCUUGUUACUUAAAAAGUUAGUGAUCACUUUGCUAGUAUGCUUGAAGUAUUAUUCUUUUCAUGUCGAUAGUAAACCAUUGUUUUGAAUCUUACGGAUCUGAACAUUCAUGCCACAAGAAAGAAGUUACGAAGGACAAAUAUGUUAGGUAGCAUUCCACAUCAAAAAUUCAGUCUUUAUCACUUCCCUACUCGAGGACGAGCAGGAGUUAAGCUUGGGGAUGCUUGAUACGUCUCCAACGUAUCCAUAAUUUUUGAUGGUUCCAUGCUAUUAUCUUGUCAACUUUGGAUGUUUUGUAUGCAUGAUUAUGCUAUUUUAUAUCUUUUUGGGGACUAACCUAUUAACUCAGUGCCAAGUGCCAGUUCCUGUUUUUUCCGUGUUUUUGACCCUUUUCAGAGAAGAAUAUUAAACGGAGUCCAAACGGAAUAAAAUCUUCGGAAUGAUUUUUUCUGUAACAGAAGAUACGCAGGGAACUUGAGAACCAAGGCAAAGGAUCCCAGGGGAGGCCACAAGCUCCCUAGCCGCGGCCUGGGGGCGCACCUACCAGGCUUGUGGGCCCCCCGUGGCUCCUUUUCCCUACUUCUUCCGCCUAUAAAUUCCCUAAAAAUCUGAAACUGCCAGAGAGAGCCACGAAAAUACUUUUCCGCCGCCGCAAGCUUCUGUCUCUGCAAGAUCCCAUAUGGGGACCGUUCUGGUGCCCUGGCGGAGGGGGAUUCGGACACGGAGGGCUUCUUCAUCAACACCAUUGCCUCUCCGAUGAUGCGUGAGUAGUUCACCACAGACCUUCGGGUCCAUAGCUAGUAGCUAGAUGGCUUCUUCUCUCUCUUGGAUCUUCAAUACAAAGUUCUCCAUGAUCUUCAUGGAGAUCUAUCCGAUGUAAUCUUCUUUUGUGGUGUGGUUGUCGAGAUCCGAUGAAUUGUGGAGUUAUUAUCAGAUUAUCUAUGAAUACUAUUUGAGUUUCCUCUAAUCUCUUAUAUGCAUGAUUCCGUAUCCUUGUAAUUCUCUUCGAGUUGUGGGUUUUGUUUGGCCAACUUGAUCUAUAAUUCUUGCAAUGGGAGAAGUGCUUGGUUUUGGGUUCAUACCGUGUGGUGUCCUUGCCCAGUGAUAGAAGGGGUAGUGAGGCACACAUCGUGUUGUUGCCAUCAAGGGUAAAAAGAUGGGGUUUAUAUCUAUUGCAUGAAUUUAUCCCUCUACAUCAUGUCAUCUUGCUUAAGGUGUUAUUCUGUUUGUAAUGAACUCAAUACACUAGAUGCAUGCUGGAUAGCGGUCGAUGUGUGGAGUAAUAGUAGUAGAUGCAGACAAUAUCGGUGUACUUGUCUUGGACGUGAUGCCUAUAUGUAUGAUCAUUGCCUUAGAUAUCAUCAUGACUUUGCGCGGUUCUAUCAAUUGCUCAACAGUAAUUCGUUCACCCACCGUAAUACUUGCUAUCAUGAGAGAAGCCUCUAGUGAAAACUAUGGCCCCCGGGUGUACUUCACAUCAUAUUUUCAGCUCUACACAUUUACUUUGUUGCACUUUCCACCUUCAGAUCUCACCUUGCAGUUAAUCGUGAAGGGAUUGACAACCCCUUUAUAGCGUUGGGUGCAAGUUUGUUUGUUUUUGUGCAGGUACAUUGGUGACUUGCCUUGAUACUCCUAUUGAAGGGAUUGAUACCUUGGUUCUCAAACUGAGGGAAAUACUUACUGCUACUGUGCUGCAUCACCCUUUCCUCUUCAAGGGAAAAACCAACGCAAGCUCAAGAGCUAGCAGGUAUCAAGCGACAAUAAAUUUCAGCACGUAGUAAUAAUGUUUCCUUACCAAUUUCCACUUACCAAGAGCGCUUAACUCCCCGGAAACGGUGCCAGAAAAUAGCCUUGAUGAUCCACAAGUAUAUGGGGUCAAUUAUAGCCUUUUCGAUAAGUAAGAGUGUCGAACCCAACGAGGAGCAGAAGGAAAUGACAAGUGGUUUUCAGCAAGGUAAUGUGUGCAAGUGCUAAAAUUGUAAGUAGCGGAGUAGUUUGAUUGCGAGAUAAUUUGUAACGAGCAAGUAACGAUAGUAGUAAAAAAGUGCAGCAAGGUAGCCCAAUCCUUUUGAGGAAAAGGACAAGCGAGAACGGUCUCUUAUGAUAAGCAAAGUGUUCUUGAGGGUACACGGGAAUUUCAUCUAGUCACUUUCAUCAUGUUGGCUUAAUUCAUGUUCGCUACUUUGAUAAUUUGGUAUGUGGGUGGACUGGUGCUUAGGUGAUGUUCUUACUUGAACAAACCUCCUACUUAUGAUUAACCAUCGCAAGCAUCCGCAACUACGAGAAAAGUAUUAAGAAUAAAUUCUAACCACAGCAUUAAACUUUUGGAUCCAAUCUGUUCCUUACGGAAUAGCGCAUAAACUAGGGCUUAAGCUUCUGUCACUCUCGCAACCCAUCAUCUAAUAACUAUUCCACAAUGCAUUACCUUAGGACCAAAUAUGGUGAAGUGUCAUGUAGUCGACGUUCACAUGACACCACUAAGGGAAUCACAACAUACAUAUCAUCAAAAUAUCGAACACAUAUCAAGUUCACAUGAUUACUUGCAACAUGAUUUCUCCCGUGACCUCAAGAACAAAAAUAACUACUCACAAAUGAUAAUCAUGCUCAAGAUCAGAGGGGUAUUAAAUAGCAUAAUGGAUCUGAACAUAUAACCUUCCACCAAAUAAACCAUAUAGUAAUCAACUACAAGAUGUAAUCAACACUACUAGUCACCCACAAGCACCAAUAUAUAGUUCCGGUACAAAGAUUGAACACAAAAGAUGAACUAGGGUUUGAGAGGAGUUGGUGUUGUUGAAGAUGUUGAUGAGUAUAGCCCUCCCCAAUAUGGGAGAGUUGCUGGUGAUGAUGAUGACGAUGAUUUCCCCCUCCGGGAGGGAAGUUCCCCCGGCGGAAUCGCUCUGUCGGAGAGAAAAAGUGCUCCUGCCCAAGUUCCGCCUCGAGACGGCGGUGCUUCGUCCCGAAAGUCCUCUCCUCCCUUUUUCUAGGUCAAAAUGACUUAUAUACCAGAAGAGGGGCACCAAAGGUGGGCCUGGGUGAGCACAAUCCACCGGGGCGCGCCUGGGCUCCUUGGCUCGCCCAGGUGGGUUGUGCCCACCUGGUGGGGCCCCUCUGCUACUUAUUUGCUCCAAUAUUCCUAAAAUAUUCCAUAAAAAUCCUCGUAAAGUUUUAGCUCAGUUGGAGUUGUGCAGAAUAGGUAGCCUGGCGUAGCUUUUUCAGGUCCAGAUUUCCAGCUGCCAGAAUUCUCCCCCUUUAUGUAUACCUUGCAUAUUAUGAGAGAAAAGGCAUUAGAAUUACUCCAAAAAGCAUUAUUAUACAAUAAAACAAUAUAAAUAACAGUAGAAAAACAUGAUGCAAAAUGGACGUAUCACUCGCUUCCCGCAUGCAUAGGCUUGGGGGCAAGCCUCAUCCCAAGAGGAGGGGAUGUUAGCGUACGUGGCAUGGGGGAUCCACAUGGCAGUGAUGACCACUACUCCAACGCUGUCCAACAACCCGCACGGCCUAGAUGACCCAACCUACGCUGCCAUGGACUUGUGUGGGCCAACUGAAGCCAGCCACAACACCACUUGAAGCCACGCGCAGAAGGGGAACGACAUCCAGUGGAUCAUGGACCCGGCGAAGACGGCUACCCGUUCUUCCUCCUACCCCCGAUCCCCUUGUCCAAUUCGUAUAAUACGCCUAUAAUCGCUGCCUAUGACUUGAAUUCGUGAGGUCAGUUAGUAGAUCAAGUGUAUCUACAAUUGGUUCCCUAAUAGUUGGGGACGAGACGCUCUUUUCUUCAAGGUAGUUUCUUACGCAAAGGCCAGGCGGAGUUCACGAAGCAUCACUUCAGCUACUCCGGGAAAAUAUACUACGUGUCGCUCCACUCCAAGAUUAGAGAUUCACAAAGUUAGGGUGUCUGAUGCCGCUCAGCCCGCUCCCAGAGUAGAGUUGUGGAGCACAGGACUGUCGAACAGGUUCUUAGAGGAUCCAGCUCCCCAAAAGAAGCGCACCCCUAGGGUGUGUUUGGUUGAGGAACCAAGUGGAAUGGGAUGUCAUUGUUCCAUUCCACCAGAAUGGAACAGUUUCCAUCUCUAUGUAUGGUUUGAAUAAUGAGGUGGAAUGGAAUGGUUCCGCCUCAAUGUUUAGUUGGUGGAAUGGAAUGACCUCGCAACCGCUGGUGCCACCCGCGUCGAUCGCCUCCCAGGCUACGAGCCAAGCGCCUCUUCCCGGCCAUGAGUCCCGCAUCCGUCAUCCCCCUGCUAGCCCGACAUCCGUCGUCCCCCUGCUAGCCCCGCAUCCACAAUUCACGCACCCACCAUUCCAUGGUUGUCGGUUGAGCGCUGGGCACUGGUGCUCGUCUACCUGGUCGUCGAUGCGAUUGAGAGAGAGGAUCGAACAGCCAUCGAAGUGCAUGAAUGAGAGGAGCGAGCUGUCGGCGGCGCGAUUGAAGGAGGGGAGUGGUCGUGCCGCGGAUGAAGGAGGGGAGCGGCCGGCGAAGCGGAUGAAUGAGGGGAGCAAUCGGCGGUGCGGAUCCAGGGAGGAGGAACCGACUGGGAGGAUCUAGGGAGGAGCAGCCGACGGGGUAGAUCCAGGGAGGAGCAACUGACGGUGCGGAUUCUCGAAGGGAGCCAAGGUUCGUCCGAGAAAAGGAGAAGUGAGAGGCUUCGUGCGAAGAGAGGUUGUAUGAGCGAUUUCGCGUGGUCCACUCGAUUUGGAGGAACCGCGUGGGACGACAUAAAUAGGGAAUAUGUUGUUUCUGGAAUCAGGUGGUUCUCGUUCCUUUGACUAUCCAAAUGCAAGAUGGACCUCAGAGAUGGAAUCGGACCAUGUUGUUCCACUUGAUGGCAUCUCCCACUCAACAUGUCCUACUCCGGCGAGCGGGAGCCGUGAGCCACACACAAUCCCACAGAUCCUCAUUGCGCAGAGCAUCCACAAAUCUUCUAUAAUAUAAAAUAAAGAAAGGGCAAAUCCAAUUUAAAAUCUGAAACAUCUAAUCUCAUCAUCAAUGGUCUAAAUACGCUAUUAACGAAGGCCUUCGUUAACAAACGAAACGCUAACCCACCACAUAUCCCGACUUGGUUGUUAAGUCGUUGCGCACGUGAAAGCACAUAUGCUCCCUUGGUGGUUUUGAUAAUUAAUGGCAACAUACAUUGUCUCUUGGACUAACACUUUUACCUAGCAUAUUUCAGGUUAGUCCACAGAGAACUUUUGCUAUAGGAUUGAGUGGAGAUGCCCCUUGAUGAAGGAAGGAAUAAGAUUGGCUAAAGCUUCAAGCAAGAAGACUCUUCAUUGUACACUUUGUGAGAAAUCACAUUUGAAUCCAUAGGGAAGCCAAUACUAUUAAAAGUGGAUGAGGUGUUAUGAUGAAUUGGUUGCUCAAGUGCUUAGAGUUAUCCACCAAAAAUACUCAACCACUCUUCCAAAAAAUAUAUGCGUCCCAAGCCAAAUAUACAAAAUCGCUGCCACCAACAUUUAUCACUCAGCCCUAUUGUUUUCAGACUUAGACAGAUCCAAGCCAAACCCUACCUUUUCGGUGCAAUCAAAACUGCAUCAGUGCUAACGAGUUCAGGUGACCAACUUUUUGUUGCCUCGAUACACAAAAUCGGAAUUUCCGAGUUUGAGUAUCAGUGUCACCGAGUUGUGUCAUAUGAUCGUUAGUCGCCUUUUCGGUGCCACCAAGUUGUGUAUAUUGGUUCCACCAAGAUUCAAAGUUGCUACCUUUUGAGCAAGUCGGUACCACCGAGUUUGUUACUUCGGUGUCACCGAGUUGGUCAAUCAUGGUGUAACAGUUGGAUUUUGUGUGCUGGCCAUAUAUGCCCCUCCACCUACCUCUGACUCGUAGAGGAAGGACUCAGAACACACACUUCAUCGCCAGAUUCAUUUUUCUGAGAGAGAGCCACCUACUAAUGUGUUGAGAUCAAGAGAUUCCAUUCCAACCAUUUAAACCUUGAUUUCUAGCCUCCCCAAGUUGAUUUCCACAAGAUCAAUCUGUCCUACCCCUGCCAAAUCUGAGACAGAGUGAUUGAGUGUUGAGGAUACUAUCUUUAGAAGCAUAAGAGCAAGGAGUUCAUCGUUCUACCACAUCUAUUACCUUUUGGAGGGUGGUGCCUCCUAGAUUGGUUAGUGUCGCUUGGGAGCUUCCUACUUCGUGUUGUAGAGUUGAACCAAGAUGUUUCUAAGGGCAAGAAGAUCGCCUACUUCGUGAAGAUCUACCAUGAGUGAGGCUAGUCCUGUGUGGAUGGAAGCCGUGGUGGAAUAGACAAGGCUGCUUCUUCAUGGACCCCUUGUGGGUGGAGCACUCCGUGGACUCUUGCAGCCGUUCCCUCCACUGGUUGAAGUCUCCACUAACAUGGAUGUACAAUAGCGCCACCUAUCGGAACCAAGCCAAAAAUCGUCAUGUCAACUUCUUCGUGUUUGAUCUUCCUAAACUCCACUCCUUACUACAUGUGCAAAAUAUUUACUUUCCGAUGCCAUACUUGUUGACUAGCAUGUGUAGGGUGAACUAGACUUGUUAGAAUCGCUAAAACCUGCCAACCAUUAAAUUGGGAAAAGGCUAGGAUUUUAAUUUAUGCAAGUAGUAUAUUCAAUUGAUAUGAGAGCAAGGUCUCCAAAACCUUGGUUUAAACACCAUUGUAGGAACAUGGGUGUGCCUAGUUUGGGGAGUAUUAGUUGUAUAGUGCAUAUUCUUUAUGGGGAAUAUUUUAGACAACGGAAAGAUGAAAUUCUUGAUGUAUUUGAUAAAUUCCAUUUGCGCAAGUAUGUUGAAUAUACCUAUGAGCCUCCCAUCGAUCCUUUCCGUCCUUCUCAUGAUGAAUAACUUGAUAUGCUUGGUAAUCUUAAAACUGUAAAUCUAAUCACUAGAGGACUACCAAGAAAUAUGCUUAAUCAAUUACAAAAUUUUGAGUGUGCUCACACUAUGUGGAAAGACUUAGAGAAAAGAUAUCCCGACUAUUCACUGAAAAAUCUUGAGAUCAUUUUCCAUAAAUGCAUUGCGUUUCACAAAAUGAAGCCAACCGAUCCUAAUUUUGAUAAAUGCCUAUUUGAGCUUCAUGACCUCAUGCGUGCUAAAGGAGAUGUAAUUACCAUUAACAAUGUCAUUGUUGAAGCCAUUCGAAUGCAUAAAUAUGAACAUUGUCAUAUUCAAAAUUCUAAUGAAACUCUUGUUUCUUAUGACGAGGGUAUUUUGUCCGACGAUGACAAUGUGGAAAUGGCUACUACGAUGAAGUUGAAGAGUUUGACAUCGAGUAUGAGAAGACCAUGAGGAACCUUAGUCUUAUGACGAACCUUAAAGACUAGAUGGCCAGAGGAAAGAAGUGGGUCUCGACAGUGGAUGCACUGAUCACAUGACCGGUGAUAAAGACAUGUUGUGUGAGAUCACACCAAAUCGUGGAACUCUAAGGUAUGUGACCUAUGGAGACAACUCCAAGGGUAUGGUACUUGGUCUUAGUAACGUGGACAUAUCUCAUGAUAGUUCCAUUCAAAAUGUCAUGCUUGUUGAAUCCCUUGGCUACAAUCUUGUUUCCAUAUCUAGACUAGCAGACUUUUGUUUAAAUGUGCUAUUUACGAAAGUUGAUUGGCAAGUAUUUCGUAGUGACAAUUAUAACAUGGUCUUUACUGGUAUCCCUAGAGGUGAUCUAUACAUUGUCAAUUUCCCUAAAAAAACAAACCCCGUACAUGUCUUAUUGUAAAAUCUUCUAAAGGUUGGUUAUGGCAUAAAAGGUUAGGACAUGUAGGUAUGCGUAACCUUGAUAGGCUUAUCAAAGGUGAUCAUAUUCUUGGUGUUAGAGAUGUUAUCUUUGACAAAGAUAGACUUUGUAGUGCUUGUCAAGCAGGAAAGCAAGUUGGUGGAAGUCAUCAUGUGAAGAACAUCAUGACUACAAGAAGGCCACUCGAGCUGCUUCACAUGGAUCUUUUUGGUCCCAGUGCUUACAAGAGCCUCGGUGGAAAUUCUUAUGGUUUAGUCAUUGUUGAUGAUUUUUCCAGAUUUACGUGGGUAUUCUUUCUUGAUGAUAAGUCGCAGGUAUAAAAGAUCUUCAAGAGUUUCGCUCAUAAAGCCCAAAAUCAGUUUAAAGUGCAGAUCAAGAAAGUUCGGAGCGAUAAUGGAACAACGUUCAAGAACACUAAUGUGUUUUCUUGACGAAGAAGUUAUCUCACAUGAGUUCUCGGCGACGUACACACCUCAACAAAGUGGAGUUGUUGAGAGGAAGAACCGGACUCUCAUAGAGAUGGCUAGAACGAUGCUUGACGAAUACAAGACGCCAAGACACUUUUGGGCAGAAGCCGUGGAAACAGCUUGUCAUGCCAUAAACCAACUCUACUUACACAAGCUUCUCAGUAAAACGGCAUACAAGCUACUCACCGGUAACAAACCCCAAGUUGGACACUUUCAAGCAUUCGGCUCUAAGUGUUACAUUCUCGAUAAGCAUCGUUGCACUAAAUUUGCUCCUAAAUCUCAUGAAGGUUUCCUACUUGGUUACAGAUCGAACUCUCACACUUACCGUGUCUACAAUAGCUUCACUCGUGAAGUUGAAGAGACGAUAGAUGUGAAGUUUGAUGAAUCUAACGGUUCACAAGUCAAACAAUUGACAUAUGAUGUAGGAGAUAAGGAACCUUCAGAAGCCAUCCAAGAUUUACCUAUCGACAAGAUUCGUCCCAUGGAGGUGAAGGAAAUUACUUCAUAAAUUCAAGUGGAAGCUCCUACUUCUCGUCGAGGAGAACAACAAAACACCAUGGAAGCAUCCACAAGCGGUAGACGACAUGAUGAAAAAGAAGAAGUACAUCAUGAUGAUCCACCUCAACCUUCCUCACCACCACCCCAAGGAGAUGACACCGUCAACGACAAUGUUUAAGAAGAUGGUGAUGAAGAUGCUCCACCAUCCAAAAAGAAGAAGUUAUCACCAGUUCAAUAAAGAGUGGACAAAGAUCAUCCGCUGAAUCAAAUAUUUGGUGACAUAAAACCGGGAGAAUCACUCGCUCUAAAUCUCGUUUAGCUAACUUUUGUGAGCAUUAUUAUUUCAUCUAUAGCAUUGAGCCUUUGAAGGUAUAAGAAGCCCUUCAAGACCCGGAUUGGGUGAAUGCCAUGCACUAAUAGCUACACAACUUCGAGAGGAAUCAAGUGUGAACACUGGUUGAAAAGUCCGAAGGCGAGCAAAACAUCAUUGGUACAAGAUGGGUGUUUUGGAACAAGCAAGAUGAAGAUGGACAAGUCGUACGCAACAAGGCGCGUCUCAUAGCCCAAGGAUACACGUAAGUCGAAGGUAUGGACUAUGGUGAGACUUAUGCCCCCAUUGCUAGACUUGAAUCCAUUCAUAUUCUUCUCGCUUAUGCCAAUCACCAUGAUAUUACUCUUUACCAAAUGGAUAUCAAAAGUGCUUUUCUAAAUGGUGAAAUUGAGGAGGAUGUUUAUGUCAAACAACCUCCCAGAUUUGUGAACCCUAAGAAAGCUAAUCACGUUUACAAACUUCGUAAAGCUUUAUAUGGUCUUAAACAAGCCCCUAGAGCUUGGUACAAAUACCUAACAAAGUUUCUUAUAGAAAAGGGUUUUGAAAUUGGUAAAACUGAUGCAACCUUAUUCACUUAAAGAGUUAAUGACGAACUAUUUGUAUGCCAAAUAUAUGUGGAUGAUAUUAUCUUUGGUUCUACUAACCCACAUUUUAGUGAAAAUUUUGGAAAGUUGAUGUCAUAGAAAUAUGAGUCAAUGAUGUGCGAGCAAAAAUUCUUCCUUGGAUUGAAAAUCAAACAAUCGAGAGAAGGUACAUUUAUAUCUCAAACCAAGUACACCAAGGACUUAAUUAGGAAGUUCAAUAUGCAAGAGUGUAAAGGUAUGAGAACCCCAAUGCCUACUAGUGGACAUAUUGACCUCACUAAAGAGGACAAACCAGUUGAUCAAAGAGUUUAUCAAUCAAUGAUUGGUUCAUUGCUAUAUAUAUGUGCCUCCCCUCGUGAUAUCAUGUUGAGUGUUUGCAUGUGUGCCCGAUACCAAGCGGCACCUAAAGAGUUUCAUCUAUCGGUUGUUAAAAGAAUCGUGAGAUACUUGAUACAUACACCAAACUUUGGCAUAUGGUAUCCCAAGGGGUCUUCUUUUAAUCUUGUUGGCUAUUCUGACUCGGACUAUGCCGGAGACAAGGUUGAUGAAAAAUCCACCUCGGGUACAUGUAAAUUUAUUGGGAGAUCUCUUGUGUCUUAGUCAUCCAAGAAACAAAACUCAGUAUCUUUAUCUAUUGCCAAAGUUGAAUAUAUAGUUGAUGGAUCAUGAUGUGCACAAUUACUAUGGAUGACUCAAACUCUUAAGGAUUAUGGCAUUCAUGUUAGAAAUGUUCCAUUGUUGUGUGACAAUGAAAGUGCUAUUAAAAUUGCCUAUAAUCCUAUGCAACAUUCUUGAACAAAACAUAUUCAAGUGCGACAUCAUUUCAUUUGUGACCAUGUUGGUAAAGGAGAUAUAGAUCUUAAGCAUGUUCAUAACGACAAACAAUUAGCUGAUAUAUUUACCAAACAACUUGAUGAGAAAGUAUUAUGUCAUUUGAGGAGUGAGUUGAACAUUGCUUCAAACUUGAGCUAGACUCACUCGGAUGCAUGCAAGGGCAUGAGCUUGACUGACUAUUCCAUGAUGCCAUUGAUAUGACACUAUCUUAUAUAUUUGAAAACUAUGAUCCCUUGUAUUGCAUCUAACUUUUUCUAGGUAUUUGCAAGAAAUACACUUCACAAGAUUGCCAUCAACCCAAAUCAAAAGCAAUCUUGUCAUGGCCAAGUAUCAACAGCCCCUCCUUCGAAGAUGGAGGAAUAAGACAACAAAAUCAUAUCCUUGACAAUUAUAUGAUGAUGAAAUUCACUCAUAUCAUUUGGAUAUAUUAUAUUCUUCCUUGCUGAAAAGUGAACCAAAACGACAUGGAUAGCUCCCAACUCAAGAUGAUAUUCAUCAACUUUGAGCAUCUGCAACAAGUUCACCUACAUGCCACACCAUCAACAUCAUUCAAAGGUAUGUACUCAUAUCCUUGAUAAAGCUUUGCACCAAGUCAUGAGGUAAAGCAACUAAAGUGAUAUGAAGACAUUAAAAAUGCUUAAUGAUGAGUAUGACCUAUGAUCAAGCAUUCUUGCUUGACUCCUCAAGUCAAAUACUCUAAUAUAGGUGACCUAGUCACUGCCCCACAUCUAGAUGGAGAUUCUUGUAUGGUUCAUAUUUUUCAUUGCAUACUUCCUUGUAACAAUUCAAAUCUCAUCUAUAUGUAUGUAUAUUUAAAAAAAACUUAUUAUUUGGUGUUGUUUUAUGUUCUGUUUCUCAAUUGGUAUCUUAUAACAAUCUUUAGUAUUUUCUGCCUAUUUUCAGUUAAGGAUUUGAUUUUCAAUGCAACUCGGUUUCACCGAUCUGGGAAACUCGGUCCAACAGAGUUCUCCCACACGCCUUAUUUUCAUUCUCGGUUCUACUGAAUCAUUUUGCCUCAGUGACUCCGAUAUUAUCACUGCCUUUGUUUUUUUGAUAUUUUCUGGACUUUUGCCUUAGGGGGAGAAAGAUUAUCAAUGAUGCCAUGUUUCAUUUCCUUCUAAGAUUUUAUUGAACAUUUUUUGGAAGCAAAAUCCGAUUACAUAUUUUCUAGGGGAGAAAACUUAUCUUGGGGGAGAAAACCUCGGCGAUCCCACACAAAAUAGAGGGAGAUUCAUCUAGGAUCCCUAUCAUAGGGGAGAUAGUUCAAGGAACUCUUAUCCAUAUUAAAGGGAGAAGAUUCAAUGAACCCUUCCCUACCAUCUAAGGGGGAGAAAAUUAAAUAAACUCUUAUUUCAUGUUCAAGGAACCAUUAUCAAAGAGAGAAGUAUCAAGGAUCCAUUUCUCUCAAUGAGCCCUUACCCUCUGACCUUUUUGGCAAUUAAUGCCAAAUGGGGGCAAUAUCAAAGCUUCCAAUAAACCUAUAUAAAGGGGAUAAAUAUCACUAACAAGCUUACACAAAAGAGGGAGAAAUAUUAAUAAGGGGAGAUAUAUGUUCCUAAGGGAAGGUCUACCUAAGGGGAGAUCUACCAAAAGGGAAGUGUAUCAAACCUUACAUAUUAAGGGCGAGAGAGAUAAAAUUGUUUCAGAUAUCAUUGCUAUUGGAUUGAACUUGUCUUAUCCUACCUACUCCCAAUAUCUAAAUGCUAUGAUUCAAGGGGAGAGGUAAUCUUACAUAUUCAUCCUUAGGGGAGAAAGUUCUAAAUUCUCUUGGAGACAUAUCUAUCAUCAAAUGCUAUUUUCAAUAUGUUCUCCAUAUCUUGGUACUUUUGAAACUCUUUGCAUCUUUACAAUAGAGUACUCUUGUGUUAUCUAACAUUUGUUUUCCCAAGUGUACUUCUACUGCUAAGACGUUCAAGAACCUCAAGGUAAGUAUAUGCAUCAUAUCCUUGUUCAUGAUGAUCUCUUAUCUCUUGCACAUAUUGUUUGCAAGAGUGAGUAACGAACAUGGGAGUUCCUCCUUCAUAUAUGUUUGAUGCAUAUAACCAAGAUCUAUGACUUGUCUUGUCCUUCUACCUUGUAUGUGCCCAUGCAUUCCAAAGCAACUAUCCUUUUAAAAGGGAUUGCACACAUUUAGGGGGAGCUUGUACUAGUCAUGUACUCCAUCUGUUCCUAAAUAUAAGUAUUUCUAGAGAUUUCACUAGUGAACUACAUAUGAAUGUAUAUAGACAUGUUUUACAGUAUAAAUUCAUUCAUUUUGCUUCGUAUGUAGACACCUAUAAAAUCUCUUGAAAGACUUAUAUUUAGGAACAAAGGAAGUAUCUUUCAAAGCCAUCAUAUUCUAAUGCAUAUCUUUAUUUGAAGCUUUGAUUGUAUGUUGUCAUCAAUUACCAAAAAGGGGAGAUUGAAAGCACAUAUGCUCCCUUGGUGGUUUUGAUAAUUCAUGACAACAUACAUUGUCUUUUGGACUAACACUUUUACCUAGUAUAUUUCAGGUUUAGUCCACAAAAGAGCUUUGGCUAUAUGAUUGAGUGGAUAUGCCCCUUGAUGAAGGAAGGAAUAAGAUUGGCUAACGUUUCAAGCAAGAAGACUCUUCAUUUUACACUUUGUGAGAAAUCAUAUUUGAGUCCAUAGGGAAGCCAAUACUAUUAAAAGAGGAUGAGGUGUUAUGAUGAAUUGGUUGCUCAAGUGCUUAGAGUUAACCACCAAAAAUACUCAGCCACUCUUCCACAAAAUAUAUGUGUCCCAAGCCAAAUAUCCAAAAUUGGUGCCACCAACAUUUAUCACUCGGCCCUACCGAUUUCAGACUUAGACAAAUCCCAUCCAAACCCUACCUUUUCAGUGCAACUGAAAUUGCAUCGGUGCUACCGAGUUCAGGUGACCAACUUUCUCUUGCCUCGGUAUACAAAAUCGAAAUUUCCGAGUUUGAGUAUCGGUGUCACCGAGUUGUGUCAUCUAACCGUUAGUCAUCUUUUCGGUGCCACCGAGUUGUGUAUAUCGGUUCCAUCAAGAUUCAAAGUUGCUACCUUUUGAGCAAGUCGGUACCAUCAAGUUUGUAACUUUGGUGUCACCGAGUUGAUCAAUCAUGGUGUAACGGUUGAAUUUUGUGUGCUGCGUAUAUUUACCCUUCCACCUACCUCUCACUCGUAGAGGAAGCGCUCAAAACAUACACUUCAUUGCCAGAUUCAUUUUGCUGAGAGAGAGCCACCUACUCAUGUGUUGAGAUCAAGAGAUUCUAUUCCAACCAUUUGAACCUCGAUUUCUAGCCUCCCAAGUUGCUUUCCACAAGAUCAAUCUCUCCUAACCCUGCCAAAUUUGAGAGAGAGUGAUUGAGUGUUGAGGAUACUAUCUUUAGAAACACAAUAGCAAGAAGUUCAUUGUUCUACCACACCUGUUACCUUUUGGAGGAUGGUGCCUCCUAGAUUGGUUAGGUGUCGCUUGGGAGCCGCCUACUUCGUGUUGUGGCGUUGAACCAAGAUGCUUGUAAGGGCAAGGAGAUCGCCUACUUCGUGAAGAUCUACCGUAAGUGAGGUUAGUCGUGUGUGGACGGAAGCCGUGGUGGAAUAGACAAGGCCGCUUCUUCGUGGCCCCUUGUGGGUGGAGCCAUCCUUAGACUCAUGCAGUCGUUACCCUUCGUAGGUUGAAGUCUCCACUAACAUGGACGUACAAUAGCGCCACCUAUGAGAACCAUGCAAAAAAUCAUUGUGUCAACUUUUUCAUGUUUGAUCUUCCUAAACUCUACUCCUUACUACAUGUGCAAAGUCUUUACUUUCCGCUGACAUACUUGUUGACUAGCAUGUCUAGGAUGCGCUAGACUUGUUAAAAUCGCUAAAACCCGCCAAUCUUUAAAUUAAGAAAAGACUAGGAUUUUAAUUUAUGCAAAUAGUCUAUUCACCCUUAUUUUAAGGGGGUGUUUGUUUUCACGGACUUUUUGGUGUAGGGACUAAAAAAGUCCCUUUUAGUCCCAUGUGAAACAAACAUGAGGAACUUUUAGGGACUAAAAGAGGGUAUUUGGGACUAAAGUAAAAGUUCAUAUGAAAGAGUCUUUUUGGGACUUUUUUGGUACUUUUUCCAACAGUGCCCCUACUUUUAGUAUGUUAUUUAAUAACUUCUACUCCUUCCGUUCCCAAAUAUAAGACCUUCUAGAGAUUUUAAUUAGGAGACUACAUACAGAGCAAAAUGAGUGAAUGUACACUCUAAAAUAUGUCUAUAUACAUCCGUAUAUAGUUUAUAGUGCAAUCUCUAAAAGGUCUUAUAUUUAGGAACGGAGGGAGUAUUACAUUACUAGAGAUAACAUGGUCUUUUCACAUGUCAUUUAAUGAUCUCUAGUCCUUGUUUAAUCCAUCAAAACAAAUGUAUAAAGCUUUUUAGUUGAGACUAAAAAAAGUGAAACUUCUCAAACAAACAGGGCCUAAACACCUCUUUCUAUCCAUCUCACAGCACGGCUUCGCCCUGCCAAAUGCCAACUGCUCCCGCAUCUCCUUCCUACUAGCUAAAUACCCGUGCGUUGCAACGGGGGAUAAACAUCGAAUCCGUUCAAUAUAUACCUUAUAUACCUUUAAGAUCCGCAAUAAUGCCACUUACGGAGCGAACAUGGGCUAGUUGGUCCAUGGUUUCACCAUGCUGAAUUUUUCUCUCAAGCCACCCUAUAUAAUACAUCGAUUUGUGGAGUUAAUCUCUAUAGUUAUAGGUUUGGCCCCCUCCAAUACUCUACAUGUCCCCCCUAAUAAUAUAGAUACUCAGGCUCCAUCGCAAGGAUAAUAAAAUAUAAUCAAUUUUUUUUUUGCAUUUUUCACUCCAUGCACGUUCCACUUCAAAUCAUGUCUUGUUAUUUUUCAUUGCAAAUCUUCAUGAUCUUACAUCUCACCUCCACUCACCAUUUGACUUGUCACCCGUUUCUCAGAUAUAGCAUGCAAUUUUGUAACACGGCCUAUAUAUCCCCAUCCCACCGUGCACAUCUUGCUUGCUCCCAUGCAAUUUUUCAUCACAUCCUAUAUAUCCCCAUCCAGAUGUGCAUGUCCUACUUUCUCAAACUUCUUUACACUUUAUUUGCUUCCUUUCUCAAACUGCUAAGUGCCUUUUGGCACCAUUCAACGGGGAUGAGCAGCUACACCAUACCAAUAGGCUUUGCACAAUUUGGUUCAACCUAUAGACCCGUAAAUCUAGAGGAACCUAUCUUUUCUUAAAGCGAAAGGAAAAACCUAUGUGUUGUAUCGCUAGCACAUUAUACCAAUAAUAAACAUACAAAUGUGUUAUUGCCAAUCAAGCCAAGGAAAAGAAAUCGUACAAUUUGUUAAGAAUUUUCCAUUUUGAUGCCAUAUCAUAGGUUUGAAUUGCCGAGCAGCGACAAGAUAAUUUGUCCAGUUAGGAUAAGAAUCACAAAUAAAAUAGAGCAUCUUAAUUUUGUAUUUUGAUCUACAAAUGGCUGCUACAACAAUCAUGAGUCACAGGGACAAAAACUUAAGCCUCAUUGAGGCAAAAAGAAAGUAUACAUCUUUAAUUUACAGUCUUACCUACAGAUAACUGCUAACACGAUACAUGACCAGUCCAGGUGUUGCCUCUUUAAUUAAAAGUACAAUCUACAUACAAGACAUAUUUCAGAAUGACUGCUGCCUUGCAGCUCCUACAAACAAUAUAUAUUGGUAUACGUAGUAGCAAAUAUUGACAGUAAUGUCCACAAUAAGUAUUCCGACGGAUGGGAAGGAUAUUUCCUGGUCUCCCAUUAUGAUCAAGUCCAGACAGAUUCUAAUAUCUAUAUUGAUUUAAACCGGUCAAUGAAACACUCAACCCACAAUUGCACAUAGCUGCUGACUUGAAAUAAUUUAUUCAAGGUGAUGCUAAUAGUAAGAGAUGUGUGAAUAUCAAAAUUGUAACAUUUUUUUGUGUUCACAUCACACAUUUUCUGAUUUAGAUUCAAACAUUCUGGAAAUCCCAAUAUCAUAAACACUAAAUCCCACAUUUAACAAGUCUAUUGAGAGUGUUAUAACUUGAGGUCUAGAAACUGAUGCAACAUUAACUCUGAGUGAAAAUAUAUAUUUAAAAAUAUUUUAGAUUGAAAUUCCUAAAUAAAUUGUUAUUGAACAAAAGUGUUACGUAGCUUUGAUGAACUAAAUAAAUCCAUUGUCAUGGUGUCAAUUUCUAAUGGAAGUCCAUAUACAACUCAUCCUUGCGGUGAUUUAUGGAAAAGAAAAUCAUAAUAUAUGUCAAAAUUUAUACUGCUGGUGAAACUAAAUUGGGAUUUACAACAUGAAAAGUGCAUCUAACUUUAAAACCAGUAGUGCGACAUCUCUCAACAACAACUUAGGAGCCUAUGCCUUAGAACAAUUUAAUCCGGCUAGGAUGCAAAAUUAAUGACACUGGAUUCAGCAGAAGCAUGCAUGGAUACUGUGAAUUUUUAUGUACCCGUUCGACGCUGGAUUCAAUAUGGUCAUGCGACGAUAUGGGGAAGACUUGCAUACCUAUUUAUGUUUGAUAAGGUAACUUUAUUCAUGAAUACCAGUUACCAUCAUUCUCACUUCAUGUAUCCUUCAGACUCAGCUAUGGAUAGAAGGGCACUCGUAGAAGUAGGCAUACAUCGAUAUAAGGAACAACACGUGCAACCUAUAUGCCCCCUGUAUUGUAGUCCUCAAAAUCACAUGCGGCAGAUGACCUAGUAGCAAUCUCUUGACAAGAACAUCAUGAAACCAUUUGGUGAAAAUACAUAAGCAAUCAUAUAUAUAACGGGAUGCAUGGAGUCCUAAUAAAUAUACAAAACAUCACAAUAUAUGCCUCACGAUAUCUGAAUCCAUCUUUGUUUCAUUUUUUUCAGCUGCAUCUUUGUUUCCUAAAAAAAUACGAAACUAUGCUCAGUUGGUAAUGGAACAAAACAGAUAUCUUGGUUAAAAAUACAACACUUCGAGGUAGCUCUAGUUGACAAAUCAAUAUUAACGAUAGAUGCUUGAGUGAAGCAUGUGACCUUCGUAAUUGAUUUGGCUACUAUAUUUUUGAAUAAUAUAUGCCAAAAAAUAUUGGUUAAAAUUAAUAUUCAAUUGAUGCAUGCUGGACAUGGAGGCAUUUUAUUCUAAAUUGUUGGCACAUAAACAACAAAACUACAUAAUCUUGGAUACAUAGGCUGGUCAUGGGUAAGUGAUUCAAAAAAGAAUCUCCACUGAUUAUCUUGCAAAAUUUUGGAUACAUUACUGGAUCAUAUUCUAUCAAUUCAAAAUUCAUCCAUUGUGAAUGAGACAGUCACUAUCGAGCCAUGGAUAGUAGAAAGCAUCGGUCACCUCUCACUUGUGCCUGCGUAUCAUCCAACACCCCAACGACGGGACCAACCAUAAACUGAACCAAAACCCCUUCGAGAAGAAGCCAGGUUGUACAAAAAAAUCAAUUUACUCCAUGUCCUGCACGUAAUCCAUCAUACAAACAAUUACCUACAGAACAAACACCAGUCCAAGAUCGAAGAUCCAGUCUUAGGUUGUGACUUGCCCUGAUAAGGGGCUAGAAGAUGUCUCUCGUGCAUAUGUAGGCAUGUUCAUCGUCGCCACCACAACAUGUGGAAUUUUGCCAAGCACCACCGGUGACUCGUGCAGCCACCGCCUGCAUGCGAAGCCUGAGAGGAUGCAGCAGCGCAGGGAGAGAAGGUGGCAAUGCUGGUGGGGAUUGUCCUGGGGGAGGAGAGUCGCAUGUGUAAAAAUUGGUCAGAACCUACCAUAGACAACAGAAAUAAUGAGCAAACAUCUAGCGUGCACGCCAUGCCACAUCGUAGUAACUCGGAUAGAUGACCAAUCAAGAGAUGAGUAAUCAAGCUGGGGUUGUCCUUGAAGAAGACGUCCUAAGACAGAGACGACAUUACUCACCAGCUUACGAUCGAUAUCCAGAGUUGACGCGGCCUACGACGUCCUAAGACAGAGACGACAUUACUCACCAGCUUACGACCGAUAUCCAGAGUUGCCGCGGCCUACGGCGGUCUCGCCUCCACCACUGCCAAAGUUCAUGGCGAUGUUUAAACCGAUCCAUCAAGGUCGUGACGGUCUCGCCUGCAUCGUGGGCGACACCCCGGCCAGCUUCACCACUCCGCCCACCCCGCGUGCCACUCUCCCCACGGCCGUGUCACAGCAUGCUCCACUCCGGCCCGGCCAUCUGGGUCGCUGGGCCGCCCCUGCCCGCUGGCCUCCUGCGUUUCCCCGCGUCGGCCCGGCCGUCCGCGUUGCCAUGCCCCGGCCCUCUCCGCCUCCACCCGCCCGCCCCGAGCGCUCCACUUCGCCGGCGACAAGGCCCCUCCGGUGGCUCCUCCAGCUUCCUCGCCUCCAAACUCCAUCGCCUCCUCUGGACGAGGUUGGAUGGGUGAUGUAAUUUUCUCUGGAGAUGGGACGGGGCCGCCAACGCCGGCGAGGGAAAGAAUUGGAUCGAGGGACUCCUCAACGUGGGCUCCUGCGGCGGCGCGGCGGUUUGGGCUGGACGGUAGAGUGUAGGGCGGAGCGGGGAGAUUUCUCUCGGAAGAGACGGCAACAAGGGCGAGGGGGUCGGGGAAGAUUGGAUCGUGGGAUCAUGGGUGUUUCUUUUUCCUUUUUUUUUUCUUUUUUUUUUACGUUGGAUGAAAAGGAGUGAGUCAGGGAACGGGACGGGGAGGUAGAGGGGCUUCUUAUCGUAUGGUUUUUUUUAUUAAAUCAAUUGGUUUUUAGAGGGUUGAAAGAAAAUCUAUUGGAGGUGGGUGGGAAAAAAGCUCGCGUUAGGAGGGGGGAACGAAGGAGGUCGAACCAUCACGAGGACCGCAGAUCCCUUUUAAGACACUCGCCCAGCCCGUGCAACCGCCGCCGCCGCCCACCCCUGCACCGCCACGCCCAGCCCUGCUCCGCCGCCGCCAUGCCCAGCCCCUGGCACACCUUCUGCUCAACCGACGCGGCCGUGGGUCGCCGUCAACGCCCCUUGCUCCUCCUCUCCUCCCUGAUGGACGUGAGCGCGGGUCUCCGGCCGGCGGGCGGCGGCACCGAAACGAGCGAAGCUGAGCAGUGGGGGUGGUGGAUUGGUCAUGAGGACAACGCAGAGCACGAGCAGCGGCUAAUUGCGCUCGCGAUAGUGAUGGUUGUAAUCCUUUAUUCAAUCAGUGUUGUAAUCGUUUAUUCAAUGUCCCCUGCAAAUUCUGACGUGCGUCCAUGAUGCUGCCAGCGUGCUGUGCGUGUUGGAUGAAUCAUCGAGGGCAUGCGCGGCUGGCCGGUCGGCUGGCAUGUGUGCUCUACGUGUGUGUUGACUCAGGUACUCAGAUGUUCUUGUAUGUACGCUCGAAAAGUGUUUGCGUCAAUGCCUGACUGGAAAUUGUUGUUUCAACCUUUGUAUUUUAGUUCAGAAAUAAGAAAUCACUAGCUCCUUCUAUUUUUAAUCAUUAUCACCUUCUUAUCCUGGUAGUGUUCAAGUUUUUUUAUCAGGGCCUUGUCUUGAAUAUAACUGCACUGUAGGAAUUGCACACUUACAUGGGCCAUGUCGAACUCUGAUAUACACGUUAGCUCCUAGAAGUGUUUCCUUCAAUCAGUCUUCUCUUGAAAUUUCGUCCUCUCUUCAAAACAUAUGUUUCGGCGUGAGCCUGCCCUGCCUUACCUGAACCCCGCUUCCAUACCAACCAAUGAUCUUUUUUGCUUUCUUUAUCUACAAAUUAGGGAUGAAACAAUAAACACUUAUACUAUGAUGCAGCUAUUGACAUGCGUGGUAAAGAUGCUCUUAUCAACUUUGAACCAAAUUUCUGAUGAUGACAUCCCAACGAUUGUGGUGUAAUGGUCGGGUACUAUGACUUCUUUUGUUGAUGCAAUUUAAAGGUUUUGUGUGUGAGUCAUUAUCGUGUAAUGUCUUAGAUCUGAAAAGUAAUGGAGUCGUGUAAAUUCGAGCUCUGGUUCUUAUGUAAUGGGGUACUGCUAUGCAUCACUUACGUAGGUGAAAACACGGUAGAAACAAAGGUAUCUUGCUGAUAUCAGUUAUUUGGGAAACAACUAUUUUAUAUAGAAGCUUCCUUUCUCUUAGCCAAGAGAGGAAAAUGAUUUCUGAUUUUAGUUCAAAAUAUUAUGAUGUCAAUUCAUUGCUUCACCAAAUCAAGAGAUCUUUUCCAAGAGAAUGGAUCUAGCCUGGUCACAUUUUCAUGUAAAUAUAUGCGAUUUUUAGGGCCUAUUGCUAGGUCCCUUCUUCAUGGCCAUGCCAUCGUUUCCCCAAACCCAGGUGAACUAUUUAUCCUUUUGAUUUAUAUACCUUUGGUUCUCCACUUCAGUUUCCAUGCUUUUCCUCCAUAUACACACCUCAAGCUGGGGAUUGGGAAGCACAGAUGGGACAGAAAGCUGCUACAAUGCUUCGUGAACAACUACGCAGAGUUCAGCAGCAAGAAGGUAAAUCAUUAAAAAUUGUGCAGCUGUAGAUAUGCACCAAUUUGUGAUUUAGCACUCUGACUCUGUAGUUCAAAAUUUGGUAUUAGCAUUUGAUUGUGCUAGAGAUACAGUACUUCAGUUCCUAGUCAAAUCGGUUUUGCAUAGGAGGUGGAGGAUUGAGCCAAAAUCUUCCUCUUUGGGACUUCUAUGUUUGGAACCAUAGUGCAUGUUGGGGAUAUUUUUUUUUUCAAAUAAAAUUACUCGCUGUAUUCUCACGUGUUUCAUUAUUUUUAUGCAUUGUGUAAUGUGUAUUUAUCAGGUACUACAAAAGAUUUUGUUGUGAUGAUGCAAAGCAUGAUUUAAUAAUCUUCUACCCUGCACAUUUUGCAUAUGGUUUCAUAAACAUCGUGCUUUUCUCCAUGUCAGCUACCUAGUCAGCUUAAGACUCAAUUAAUGGCUGUAAAAUAUUUUGGUGAUGAUUUUGGUGAAUGACUGAAGGCCCAAUCUAUCUCUAUCAAUUGUAGGAUUGGUAAACCUCUCAUCUGUGGAGUGAUAUUGAUUUGUCAAGAGCUAUCAAAAGGUUUGCUGCCCAAUUUAACCACCUUCAUGCUUUUUAGUUGCAACACAUACAAAAGUGAAAUAAAAUUUAGAUGUAUAGCUCAGCCGAGGAAACCCAUUUUUUCCUUUGAUUUCUUCUUCUGCAGGCAAGGAACCAUCUUGCGCUCAACCAGAUUCAUACUUUCCCAUUAAGGUAAACCUUUCGUUCCCGUUAUGUCUUUGUUCAAGUAUCGUUCAUAGUUUUUUACAGUUUGUAGUCCAUUCCUUGAGAUCAUGUACUUUUUUUGGCAUGCAGAUCAUAUAGUUUUAGCCGCACAAUUUAUAGUUAGAGCAUAACGAGCACUCAUAUUUGGAUUAUGUUCCUUGAUCCGCCUAUGUAAAAUAUUUGUAUGUACUUGAAUUGCAGUUUGACAUCUAAGGCCCUGUUUGGAAUCACAAUAGAUUAUGAUAAUCUGGAUUAUGAAGAUAGAUUAUAUAAUCUGGUUUAUAAAAAUAAUCUAGGUGGACAUGUUUGGAGGCCAGAUUAUAUAAACUGUAAUCCAGGUUUUACAUUGCAUAAUGACCUGUCUGCCCUUUGUUUAUUUUAAAAAAGAGGAGGAUGGCGGUGGCAGGAAUGUAAUUAUCUCCAACUUUACAAGGGUAAUGGGUCAUUAGCAAUCCAUAAUCUGAUUUUAGCUGGGGUAGAGUAGAUUGUGAGUUUUUAAUAAUCUGUCCAUCUAGUUUUUAUAAUCUACAUCAUAAUCUGUCCUGUUUGGAGACAGAAUGGAUUAUAUAACCGGAGUGGUUCCAAACAGGACCUAAAUAGAUUGGCUCAUAGCUUUAUGAUGUCGUAUACUGCCUCCUAAAAUAUGGAAUUGAUAUUGUAACAAUUGGCCAAUGCUCUUUAUAGUUGUUGAGAAAUGGACGUGGGCAUCUUAAUUCUUAAACACAACAUUUCCAAUCAUUUUUAUGACUCCGGAAUUAGGAAUUAUACUGACUUUACAUGAGAUUUUUUUCUUCAAAAAAUUAGGUUUAUUUAAUGAUAGAACUAAAGACCGAGCUAGGCUUCGGCCGACCGUCCCAAGCGUGCACCCGCCCGAUUUCAAUGCAGCCAUUGGAAUUUUUUUUGAGCAUACAACCAUUGGAAUUCGUGUCCCUAUUUUGUUCACCUCCCCCAACACAGAUUGACUCUACCCCCGCCUCCGCCUCCCCAUGCACCCUCGCCCUGCCUUCUUUCAACUCCGGUGGACACCACUCGCCAUCCACGCUGUCGCGCCUGGGUGCAACGCUUUCGUGCCAGUUCCAGUAUUUGUGACACAUGGUUAAAGCAUCGGCUCUCGCCGGCCACAACAUUUAGCGACACGUGCACCUACCGCUCCCUGUCGAUAGAAGCCCCGCUAGUUGAUAGUUCCAGCUCUGCUUAGGUUGAUUGUAGCAAAAACGAUUGCUGGUUCCAGCAAAACAUGGCGGUCACCGUCCGUCACUGCCCCAACACCAUCCUCUCAAUUUGUAGCAAAACCAAAAGCUGGUUCCAACAAAAACCAAAAGUGGUUCCAACAAUAAUGUAACAAAAAUCAUGGCCGCAUCGACACCACCAUCCUCUCAGUUUGCAGCAAAUUCAAAAGUUGGUUCCAACAAAAAAUUAAUGUGUCUAGACAACGGCACCACCAUCCUCAUUUGCAGCAAAUCGAAAGCUGGUUCAAGGAAAAAUCAAAAGUGAUUCCAAAAAAAUGAAGUUCCAGUGUCACGCGGCAUGCCAUAGUCCACAACCACACGGUCGCCAGUCGCACUUAGGUCAUGGCAUCAGCCUUUUGCAGGACAGCUUCGCAGCAGUCGACUUCUCCUCGUAGCAGCGACCAUCGCUCAUGAGGGAUAGGUUGAGGAGGUGGAGAAGGGCAUGGAUAAGAGGAGGAGCUUCUUGCCGACGUGGAGCCAGUGGAGGAAGAGAGUAGGGUUCGUGCCUGGUGGGUGCAGUGGCUGCCUCGCCGGAGUACAUCAAGGGGACAUUGAGCCAGGGUAAGAGAACGGGCAAAUCAGCCUCGCCGGAGUACAUCAAGGGGACAUUGAGCCAGGGUAAGAGAACGGGCAAAUCAGCGGAUAAUAUGAUGAGAGCAAGUAAAACAAGAGGACGAGAGAUAUGGUUAAUUGGGAGAUGACGUCAGACACAUGAUCUCUCACGAUCCAACACCCCGUGCGCGAUCGGCUUACUUAGCCGGUCGACCGGGUAGAAAUCCUUUGCCUAGAAUUAAUGUACACAUGCAAGUUUACUAGUGUCCAAAAAGCGCAUGCGGGUUAGCACUCGGUAGAGGCGCGUUUCCUGUGCAUUUUUGCAAACGGGCGCUUAUAGCGCUCCCGCAUCGGGCCGGUCCAUCUUAGCGUUUUUCCAAGCUAAAAAAAAGGAGAGAAUGCCGGGGCUCGAACCAGCGACCUCGCCACCGGGCACGGACCUUUUCCGCCUUUUUUUAUUAACUAGUAAAAGUGCCCGUGCGUUGCACUGAGUACGAAAUAAAUAAAUAUAACAAGUAAACAUGGAUAUGCUCUUACUUGAUGUUUCAAGUUGCAUAGUAUCUGCACUGAUAGUGAACUGUCCUAUGGCAAAUUGAAACAAAUUCUGUUGCAGAAAUAGAAGUACAAUUGUGAUCAAAAGUACUGGGAUAAAAUUUCGAAACAAAAUGGAUGACUGAUUUUAGUUUAAAGGGCUCACAAAACAGCGCAUUAAGAUCUCAUUGUUGCAUGGCUAAGGCUCAAACCCAAGAAUAGCCAUGCACUCUGGUUGAAGAAUAACCAUGCAAAUCCUCAACAAAUUCAUUCAGAAAUUGGCUUCUUGUAGUUCAUUCAGAAUUCAGAAACACCAAGAGUCCAAUCGCGGGCGUUGGUAAGGUUCAUAGCUUCUGAUAGAAUUCACUUAGCUAGAAAAUUAGUAAAAAAAUGAAAAGCAAACUAAUCGAUGGGCGGAUGAUCAUGGUUGUCAAUUAGUGCUCAGUCUUGGAAAACAAUGAUACAACUAACCAAGGAAAAAUAGACUUGCUACUUAAAUUGGUUCCUAAUUAAAAAAGUAGAUCCUUUAGUUCUCAGAUAUAAAGAUGGUACAACAAGAGAGUUCAAACAAUGACAUCUGUUCUUCUAAACAAACAAAUUCACUAUGUUCUUCAGAGCUCGAACAUGACAUAUAGCAAGUGAAUUAGAUAGCCACGUGAGCCUUAUCUAGCAAAACAGCUCGUGCGUUGCAACAGGUUCGCUACGGAGCAAACACUUGGUCCUUCCUUCUGUGAGUCGGUGACGGAUAACAUCAAGUCAAAUGAGAUCUUCGUCUGCACCUCUGGUCGCACACAAACACUGACCAUACAUGACCAGUAGACAACACAAACAUAGAAGCUUUCACACAAAUGGAGUGGGCUAAUUUUACAUACUUCACACAGAUUGAUAAUACUUACCGCAUAACCUUCAUCAGAACUUCACUUAUUUAAUUUUCGCAAACAACAUCAAGCAAUUGUAUAUACCAACGAAAGGAACAACAUUUAUGGUAACGAAGACUAUUCAGUCAGUCUCGGAGAACAAUUUAUAUGUACACCAAGAUAAGAACAACAUGACAGGACUCCUUUAGAAGCAUAAGAUAGUCCAACAUGUGCAAAAACAAUUACAAUAUCUUCCUAAUUUAUCCAUGAAUUUUGCAAACUAACCAUCUUAGUCUCCUGUCAAGCACAGCACACCAAAAGCAAGUGAAGAUGACUCUAGUUGCAUACCUAGAGUAAAAACCAUAAAGCCUACGUUUUAACAACUCCCCGAGUCCAAGCUGAUGUGACAUAUAAUGUAGUUGGCUGGUUUCUUUAACCUAAUACAAUUAACUCUUCAGCUUGAGCGUGUAUCUUAGAAAUGCAUCAGCAUCAGUUUACAAUCUGACCAAGUUUCGAAUAAGAACCGAAGUUUAGCAGACACAAAACUUAUAAAUUACUGCAUGCUUCUUCAUGUUGUGAGCCAUAUAAUAUUUUUCAGUUAGUCCUAUCCUCUCAAGAAACAUAGAGACCGAGUUAUUAUGUGAAAGUAGAUACUUAAAAGCAUGAAGCAUGUGAACACCCAUCUGCAGUAAAGUGUAUCCUAAAGUAUAGGAUAAAGCAUUAGCUACUAAUACAUGUAGGAACUCCCCAAGCAGAAGAAAAUCAAAGAGACUAAUAAAAACACUUUCUUCCUUGUCAAUUUUUACUUAGUGGCUCUGAAGAACUAUUGCUACCAACCCUGAAGCAAUAUUACAUCUGCAUCAGUAGAAAAUGAAGGUUAAGUUGUACGCAAAGGAAGAAAUUGAUUGGCGAUAAGCUCAAGAGUGGAUUUUUCUAAAUGAAAUAGCAAUUAAAAUGGUCUUCAUUUUAGCAAUAUCUUCUUUAAUUCUUUUGCUUGGUCUGUCAUAUCAGCAGUGCGUUGUAAGAGGCCCAUCACGUUUUAUUAUAUCUGAGCAUACCAAAAAAUCUAGCUAUGAAGUUUGACCUCUCCAAACCAUGAUUGAAUAGCGUGACUCAUCUCUACUUUUGCGGUAUACUGGAAGUCCAAUCCUAUCUGCAUUCUAGCUUGAGCGUGGAUGUGACAUUGUAGAAACAUGAACGGUUUGCCACAUGGAUAACAGGAAAUGUAUUAGAAGAAUAACAUACUCUAUAUUUUCUGAUUGUACAUUAUUUAUCUGAGGAAGUUUCUUGGCAGCCAGCAAAUAUUUGAUGAACAAUCUUAGGUUACUGCGAAAAAGAAACUGAGGAUCCCCAUAUCCAAAUUAGAUAUCCCCAUUUGGCCAGAUCUUUACCUAAAGAAGCAACAUCCAUUAAAAUAGAGGAAGCAUUCGGUGACUGGCUAAUUACCUCCAGUAGCAGAUGCAAGUGUGCUAGUAGGGGGCGGGCCUUGUUGAUCAGACAUGGCAGGUUGGCCAGGGCUAUGUUGAGUCUGAGCGAAUAGCAUAUGCAUCCAUAGCGUCGCUCGGCGAUGUCUUCAGCCGCGACGAAGGUCUUAGCUGCAGCGGCGGACUCGACCUUAUCUUCAGGUGCCUCGGAAGGCGAGGAGUAUUGCAACGGCCUUGUGGGAAAAGGGUCACAACAUCUGCGCUAAUCCCAACAGCCAGAUUCCCUCCCUCUCAGCUCCAGCGACGACUGCACUAAGCAAACCCUCUGUAUCUUUUAUGAGAAGUAGCUCCUGACCAACAAUACCUGAAGAAGAACACCAUUGAUGCAAGUCAUCGAAAAUUACGACUAACAAAACAAAGCAUCAAACCUAUUCUGUUGUAAAUCAUCGGGUGGGUGGCGACACUCCAUGUUUGAAUACAUACCUGAACAUGGUGAGAUAAAAUGGUUUUAUUUUUGUGAUGAGAUCAUUUUGUCGACAGACUCAUAAGUCAUGAUACAACCUUAGUGUCAUGUUAUACAAAUUUCCAAAAUACCGAAUAGCUUCCGUGAUCAAAUCUGGAGCAAAGGAAAGAGAGGAUGCACACAGCUCAUUAUGCAAAACAUGAUCGAUAGACGUACAAUGAUAGUCAUCCACCCUCCCCAAAGUAAGUAGGGAGUUAGCAUAAAUAGCUAGUUAUUGAUAUAAUUUAGCUAAUCUAGUCACCAUAAGUAAGAACAAUAUUCUUCCGCGGUAAUAACACAAGCUCAAUUGCAGCUGAAACAGAGCCGACACAUCAGAGGCCAGAUCAAACAAUUUGAUGGUGAUGCUAUUUAGAGCGAGUGUUUUUCCUGUAGAAUACAUGAGUCAUUUGGAGCGAAAUUUGAGGACGCCUGCACACUGUACUAUUUUCUGAUGUAUUGUAUCAAUAUCAUGGAGCUGCCUAUAAUGAUGCUUCUGUCAAUUAAUUCACUGGAUAGAUGUACAGCACAACAACCUCGGCGCAUAAUUAAAAUAUUGUUAAGGCAGUCUACCCAGUGAGAUUAAUACACUAUCUACCUAGGACACAGGAACGAGGAAUGAAGUACACCAUGGAGGGGUUUCCCUCUAAAAUAAUCUUGCAACACAAACAAAUGAAAGAUGCUUUAUCUUAAGCAGAACCCACAAAAUUUAUCAGGGGUGAGAACAACUCUAAUUUGGAUGAAACUUUUGUCAAUUUUUAUGUACAAGUUACUGCUAGAAUACAGCAGCAGAUCCCUGAUGAACAACUGAAAGAAAACUACACCCAAAGCCACCAUUGGCGUUUCGCCCCACCACCAGCCCCAGCCCAACAUCAACUCAGGCAAUACAGUCGCUAAUCGCUGGUAACACAAACGAAUCUACAACCAAAUCAACCAAAACGGGGUUCACUUCUUUGAAAUCCCCACCCCAAUCCAACAUUCCAAGGAUUAACACGCCGCAAUACAGGCGAGACCGCACAAAUAGGAUCAACGGACAGCUAGGACUCCGUCGACGGGCACUACUUGGAGGGAGUUGGCCUUGACGUAGUCCCACACGAUCUCGAGGACGCCGGAGCAGGAGAUGUUGGGGGCGUCGCCGAAUUUGCUCAGGGUAUCGGACACCGGCACCGGCCGCAUGAUCCCGCGGAGGUUGUUCGGAUCGACCGGGCCCUUCUUCUUGACCGCCUUGGGUUUCACGGCGUCCGUUCCGCCUCCCUUCGCCGCCGCCGCUGCAGGCUUCUUGCGUCAGCCGCCGCCGCCGAGGACAUGAAGGACCGGCACCCACGGAGCACCGUGUACGCCGCCGUCGACAUCGCCGUGGGAUGGGUGGGUGGGUCGCUCCGCUUCGCCGGGGAGUGGGGGGAAACAUUUUGUCAGAUCCAGUUAAAGGGACUGCGGGUUGAAUGUCAUAAAUAGCAAGGGCUUUUUUGUAAAAUCAUCACGGCGGGUUUUCCGACAGAAACAAUAGCCUCUUUAUUAUUAGGUAAAGAUAAAGAUUCCUUCCUUUGUUUUUUUCCUUUCUUCCUUUUUCCUUUUUUGUCGUUUCUGUUUUUUUCUCUUUCCUUUUUUUCCUUCUUCUUUCUCGUAUGAUGAUUUUGUUUCAAAUUCAUGAUUUUUUCUUUAAAAUUGAUGAUUUUUUUUUUCAAAUUUGAUGUACGUUUUUUCAAAUUCGAUGAUUUGUUUUCGUAAAUUUUGAAGAUUUUUUUCCAAACUUGAUGAACUAUUUUCAAAUUGCAUGAAAUUUUGAAAAUCAUUUUUUUAGUUUCGUUGAACAUUUUUCAAGUUCGAUGAACUUUUUCCAAAUUCGAUGAACUUUUUUUCAAAUUCGGUGAACUAUUUUCAGAUCCGAAGAACUUUUUUAAUCCAUUAUUUUUGUCAAUGUUGAUGAAUUUUUUCAAAAUUGUUUGACUUUAUUCAAAUUUGAUGAGUUAUUAUACAAAUUUGGUGAACCUUUUCUCAAAUCAGAUGAACUUUUUUCAAAUUCAUUGAUUGUUUUGUCGAAAAUACAUGAACAUUUUUCAAAUUCAAUGAACCUUUUUUCAAACUUGAUGAACUAUUUUCAAUUUUGAUAAUUUUUUUUAAAAAUCAGUUUUUUUAUUCCACUGAAUAUUUGUCAGGUUCGAUGAACUUUUUCAAAUUUGAUAAUCUUUUUUCAAAUUUGAUGAACUAUUUUUAGAUCCGAUGAACUUUUUAAAAAUCCAUUAACUUUUCAAAACUUUUUCCAUUAUUUUAAAAUUUGUGAACUUUUUCUAAAUCUAUGAACGUUUUUUGAAAUCAGUUAACUUAUUUGAAAAUCGGGGAACAUAUUUUAAAAUUCGUGAAUUUUUUUCAAAAUCAAUGAACUGUUUUUGCUCAAAUUCGAUGAACUUUUACAUUUUCAUUUUUUUAAAAAUUGAUGAACUUUUUUAAAAUCUGUUGAACUUUUUUUUAUUCAAAUUUGAUUAACUUUUUUCUUCAAAUUUGAUGAACUUUUUUCUUCAAAUUNNNCCUUCGAAGAAUCAGCCGUCGAUUGUGUUUCCAAGCAGUUUUUUGAUCGGCUCCAUGAUCCAUCCCAGGUACCCGCACAUGCAAGGGGGCGCGUCGUCUUGCCGUGCCGCCG
rnacentral:lncRNA from 1 species